CUCCUUCUUUUUCUUCUUCUCUUCACCGUGGGCGGCGCCCUCGCCGCCGCCGACACCGGGGAUCUUCUGCUUGAUCUUGUCCACCAAGCCCUCCUUGUGUUCGCCCUCCUUGUGUUCCCCGCCGUGAUGCUGCUGCUGAUGGUGAACAUCAGUAGUGCCGACACCGGGGAUCUGCUGCUUGAUCUUGUCCACCAAGCCCUCCUUGUGUUCGCCGCCGUGAUACUGCUGCUGAUGGUGGACAUCAGUAGUGUGGUGGUCCCCACUAUGGUGCUCUCCCUUGUGCUUGUCCUCCUCCUUUUGCCCUCCUCCCAUGUGAAGGGCUUCUCCGAUCUUGUGAAUAACUCCUGACAUUUUCCCUUAAAAUGACUCUGUUCCUCUUCUUUUCUUUUCAAUGAAAAAUAGUUGUUUGCGAUCUUCUUCUGGUUGUUGUUGUUCUUGUUGGGUGAUCUUGGCUUGGUAUUUAUAGGCUCCAAAAGGAGGGACUAGAAUUAGGAUUAGAUUAUAGAUUAUUUUAAUACAUUUUAUGGCAAAUUCUGAUUUGGAAAGAUAAGAUUAUCCUUUUGGUUUUCCUUAUUUACCCUUUUGCACCCAUUACGUGUACGCGUCUUCGUGGGCUUUUUGGGUAUUUCAAUUAUAUCGCCAAUGCUAAAUCGACACGUUGCAUAUCAGCCGCGGUACUGCCGUAUGUAGUUGUCCAGAAAUCGAGUCGAUUCUCGAUCGUACAAUAAUUAAAUAAUAUUUCAUACGAAAUGAGUUUAGAUAUAUUUUGAAAAUUUAUUUUUAAUUUAAUUAUACGUGUUAUAUAUUUGUUAAUCGAAUAGAGGUCCCACGUAACAGAGUGUUUCUCUAAUCUUUCAUUGCUUUUAAUUAAUUUUACCCAAAUAAAAAAAAAAAGGAAAAUUUAGAGAGAGAGAGAGAGAUAGCGAAUUAGAAGUUGAUUGUAAUAUCGACACCUGUCAGACAAUCAAAUAUCGUUAGUUAAAAAUCAGUUGUCCAUAGUCAUGGUCAUAGAUGGCGAAAUUGAUACUUAUUUUAAAAAACAAAACAAAACAAAACGAAACGAAACUAAACUAACAGAUGUUGAAAUGCAGUUCCGUGUUAACAGUCUGUGAUGAAUCUUUAUCUUUGAGUAUACCAUUCAAGAAAUUAUCAUUCAAAAAUUUAUUUAAAGCAGCAGCAAAUCACCUUCUAAUUCCUGAAUCAAAUUAAUUCGAUUUUUUUCGAGUCGAUCAAUUCAUUAGAGAAUUAACGGGCUAAGUUAAAGUUUUGUUAGUUAUUUUUUUUUAUAUUCCUUUAGAUGAUAUGAUUGUCAUUGUCUUUCUUUCUCUGGGCAACAAUAAAUACAAGAUGUGCAAAAGCGUAGUGGAACAUAAUUCGAUUAUGGGUAAAGGGAUCAGUCCGCAUAAUGAGGAUAAAGUUUUUCUCUUUAAAAAAAUUUAACCCAAAGAAAAGGUCGUAGUUUGUAAUAGCCGACACGCAGAUAGAUCACAAAGCAUGGCGGUCCUGAUGGCAAUAACUAACUGAUAUCUUCUGCGAUGAGAGGAGAUCACGUGGUUCUGACACGUAUCGCCCCAUCAACUGAUGUUGUGGCUGCAAUCGCGGCCCAGUCUUUAGAGAGAAGAAAGAUCUGUUAUAACGGGACCUACUUUAGCAUCUAUUUACGACAAAGCCCCUAUUUACUCUACUUAGUAGUAAUAAUAGCAAGUGUCGGGCUUGGAUUCCGUGUUGCUUUAAAUAAAUAUCCGCGUAAAAAGAAAAUGCUUCUUUAAUCCCUUCCUUGUAAUUUUUCGACACGUGGAUGGUUGAAAUUAGCGUGCCGACAUCUUAGGAAUUUUAUCUUGGAGACGGGAACACUGCAGUAGGCAAUGCCAUUUUCUUCGGAUGGUGUGUGGUGACAACGCCUUGGAUUUUGACGUGCAAAGAAUUUAAAUUGAAAAAGAAAAAAAGAAAUUACCAGAAUAAGCAUAGAAGAGAUAUUUUUCUUUUUGUCCUUUUUGGAAUGGAAAAAGAGAUCAAGAGAUUGUUCCAGUAAGUAUUACACAUGUCACAGGCUUAUUCAUGCCCCAUUAUGGCAACUUUUAUGCCUCGCGGUGCCCUCGGUUCCAGCAUAAUAGCUAAGACUUCAAUUUUUCUAACAUAUUUUUGUUACAAAUAUGAACGGAGUAAAUGUAUAACUUUAAUCCUUUGAAUAAAGAAAUGGCGGUUCUCCUGCUCGUUAAUCUCACUUGAAUCCCACCCAGGCAAAAUUUCUUUAUUUUAUUUAACAACAAUUUAAAGAAAGAAACUUUUGCCAGGUUGAAUUUCAAGUGAGAUUCAUUCGUGGGAGAAGUGCCAUUUCUUUAUUCAAAAGAUUAUGGUAAUUACAACUUUCAAUUUCGACAUAAAUUAAAAUUAUAGGCUAUACAAUAAAAUUGCCCUAAAUUAGUCCUAAUCAAUUCAGAUUAUAAAUUUAGGUAUAUUUAUUAUUUUAAUAUAUUAAUGUUCUAUAUAUAUAUAUAUAUAUAUAUAUAUAUGUGUGUGUGUGUGUGUAUNNNNNNNNNNNNNNNNNNNNNNNNNNNNNNNNNNNNNNNNNNNNNNNNNNNNNNNNNNNNNNNNNNNNNNNNNNNNNNNNNNNNNNNNNNNNNNNNNNNNNNNNNNNNACAGCAGAAAAUAUUUGCUAUGGAUAAGGAGACAUGGUCCCACGUCCCACCGUCCCAAUGCAUAUUUUGUAUGUUUCCAUCUUUUCUGAAAUUUUAAUAAAUAAAGUUUUUUGACCACUUGGCCAAAGAACCUUACCCUUACACAACUUUGUGGUUGGAGUCCUGUGAUACAUGUAAGAACUUAUUUUUUUUCUUAAUUAUAAUAUUUUAGAAUAUAAUUAAGUGAAGUAGGUUUUUUUUUUAAAUAUGAGUAAAAUAGAUAUUUUUUAAAUAUUAAAGAGAGUAAAAUUUGAAUAAUAAUAUAUUAAAAUUAAUACAAACUAAUUUUAAUAAUUAUUUAAUUAUAAAUAUCAAUUAUAACAUCAUAUAAUAUCAAUUAUAAUAUCGUACAUCUCAAUUAAUUCAAUAAUAAUAAUAAUAAAUGUUUUUUGGGAUAAGUAAACAGUCGCAUGGCGACAAUAGUGGAUCUGGAUUAGAGUGAAGUGGUCCCAAGAGGCUGAGGCUGUGGCUGUGGAGUUCUAAAAGUCAAAAGCUCCACGCACUUUGUUUCAGUACCAUACACACUGAAAAAAUUUGCAUUUGCAAUGACGAAAACUUUUCACGAAAUCAAAACACCUCUAAACUAUUUUGUUAUCGAUAUUUAAUGGAGGGGUUUCCUACCUUUUUAACACUCGAUUCACGCCUUGACGCAUCUCACAGAAAACCUCAUGAUCCCAUUAAUCUUGCGUAACAUAUCUCAAAGCCAAUGCAAGUGAUCUUGUUGCCUACUUCCCUUUGACGAUUCAAAAUUGUUGAAAAUAAUUCUUUUUUUUUUUAACCUCAAGGAAGUGACAAAAUAUAAAAGAAUAUUUUCUACACAUUAAACAUCUAGAUUUUUUUUUCUUUUCUUUUUAGAGUACUUGCACAAACCGUUUCCAAGAGAGACCUUUUUUUUUUUUUUUUUUUUCCGGGCUUGGUUACUAAUUUGGUGUGAAUACUCUAUGGUGAAAAAGGAAUCACAAAGCUGUAAUCAAUUUUUUUGCAUCAUUUAGUUGUAACUUGAACAUUGGGAGGUUUAUAAAGAAUUAAAUUAAUUAUAAUGCCUCUACUAGGAAAAGUUCAGAGUAGCCCUUCACAACUUUUUAAAGGCUUAAUAAUUUUCGCUUUCUUCCUCUCAUAACAUAACAAAAAAUUAAGAGCUUUACUCGUACACGUCCUAUGGCUAUAUAGUAUUGGGUUCUCUACUUCAAUCGGCUAUCUCAAACCGAAGGUUAUUUGGACACACCAGCAGUCACGUUUGGAAACUCUCAAAUGCUUGGAUUGUAAUUCUUGUGGAUGAGAUCAUCUAAAUCUUGGGCCCAAGCCGGACAAUGGGUGGACAAAGAACCCUAAAAUACAGUAAAGCUUCUAACACCCCACUAAAACUCUUAAGAAAUCCUACCUUUUAUUUUUAUAUCUCUUUCUUUUAGAAAUUAUAGAGAAGACAUAGCAUUUUAAUUAUUUUCCCUGCCAUUGAAAAUAAAUUCUGUAAACAUAUUUUUUCAUAAUAAAAUUAUUGUUAUUAGAUAAUUUAUUUCUUCAUUGUUUCAAAAUUAUUAUAAUUUUAUCAACAAAAUUAGUUAUGUCAUAUAUUAGGAUUAAAAUUAAUUAGGAUCCAUAACUUGUAAAGACAUUUUAGUUUAAUUGAAUUCAUAUUUGUCAUUUUAUGUAAUUUUCAAUAAAAAUACGACUAUGAGUGCAAAAGUGGGAUGACAUAAUAUUAAAAGAGUGUGAAAUAAUCGGUAAUUGAAAUGGAUUGAAAUCAUAAUAGAGUAUGAAAAUCAGAAUAAAUUGUUUACUUUAGUUGUAGAAAUCAAAAUUAAAAUAAACCAUAUUAUCAUUGAUGUAUAUAUGUUUUCUUGUAAUCGAAAUGAAUUCUUAUAAGUUACUAUAAGACCCUUAUGGUGUGUUUACUAAUCAGAAAUCAGAAUGGAGUGGAAUUUGAAUAUAGAAUGGUAGGGGUAUUCGCGGAUCGGAUUUUACGGAUUGGACAUUAAUUCAUAUCCGAUCCAUAAUUUUACGGAUUAUAAAUUCUCAACACAAUCCAAAUCCAAUCUAUAUGUUUGCAGAUCGGAUGCGGAUUUGACUCAAUUCAUAUCCAAUCCACUAUUUGACGGAUUGAUUUUGGAAUUAAAAAUUUUUAAUUUUGUCCAAUCUAUGAGGUAAUUAAAUUUAAAAAUCUAAUAUAAAAAUAAUUUAUUAAAUAAAAAAUUAACGUAAAAAUAAUUUUACUACCAAUUAAAUUCAAAAUUGAACAAGAUUUAAAUAAAUUAAUUAUUUAAAUAAAACUAGAAUAAUUUAUUUAAAAUUUUUAAAUAUAACAUAUCGAAAAAAAAUUCAUUUGUUUAGAUUAAUAUAUGAAAAUUAACUAAAAUUAUGAAUUUAAAUGUUGAAAUUUGAGAGCUUGGAUGUAACAGGAAGAAAUUAAGAAACUUGAAGAACUUGAAAAGAAAGUAACAAAUUAAGCUUAACUACCUCUAAUGGUGAAGUGAAACAGUGAUGGUUUGUGCGUGCAAUGGGGUACAAAUUUGGCAUUAUAUGCCAAAAUAUUUUGUUUGGCUUUAGAAUUUUUAAUGUUUAGGAAGCUAUAUUUGUUUAUUUAAUUACUCAAAUAUUUAAUUAUUUUUUAUUUUAUGUUAUUAUUGAAUAAGAUAUAAUAUUGUGUUAAUUUAGCUAUACUUUAAUUAAUUAAUUAAUUUAUUAGUAAGUAGCAUUGCUACAUUUAUAAGUUUUAUUUUUUAUUAAAUAAAUACUUUUUUUUUUCAGAUUCACGAAUUUUUACGGAUUUACAGAAAUAAAUCCAUAUCUAAUCCAUCGACUGUGGUUUUUUAAAUUUUCAUUCCAAUCCGAUCUACCAAUCCACAAAUUAUAUUUUUACGGAUCGGACGAAUUGAGCGGAUCAAAUUGGGUUCUGAACACCCCUAGAGAAUGAGAAUCAAAAUAAAUUAUUUACUUUAGUUGUGUGAAUCGGAAUUGGAAUAAAUUGUACUGUCAUUGAUGUGUUUACUUUAUCUUGGAAUCAGAAUGAAUAAUUUCAAAUUACUAAACUGACCUUAAUUUUUUAUUGUAAUAAUAAUAGUAGUAGUAGUAGUAAUAGUAGUAAUUUUCUAUUAUUAUUAUUAUUUUCUCUCUCUUUUGUUUUUAUUUUUUUAUUUUUCUCUUCUUCUUCUCUUCCUCUUUUUUUAUUUUUCUCUAAUUCAUCGAUACUUCUUCUUCUUCUUUUUUCUUUCGUUUUUAUUUUUAAUUUUUCCCUUCUUUAUCGUUCCUUCUUCUCCGUCCAUUCUCUAUCUUCAAACUCUUUUUACUUUUUCUCUUAUUCUUCAUUACUUCUUCUCCCUUUUUUUUUUUUUUCUCUUCUUUAUUAAUUCUUCUUCUUCUGCGUCUAUUCUUCAUCUUCAAAUUAUCAAGUGAAAAAUACCCACGGUGCCUUACAAGAAGAAUUGGUUUUGUUUGCUUCAAUUAUUUUUUGUAUUUUGUACUUUUGAUUGUUUCAAAAGAGGAUAAACUUGUAAUAAUGCAAUUUAAGUAGGGAUGUUUUAGACAAUUUUGGGUAUGAGAGUCUAAUUCCCAACCCCCCACUCCCUCGUAGCAGACUCCCAUUCUUCAUUCCUAACUUGGUGUUGGACCUACUAAAAUAAAUCCCAUUCCCCUUCUUAUUUCAAGAAGCAAACACGAUUUUGAUUUCAAUUCCCCAAUCCGAAAGUAAACGCACAAAAAUUGUACCCAUAUGAGAUUGCUUAUCCUCGAGUUUUUAGAUUGAAAAAAAAAAAGGAAAAAAGAAUGGCCCCAUUAGGAAGGGAUUUUAAGUGUUAGAUAAAGCCGGUGUUAACCAUUAGAAGGUCUCCGACCUUCAACUGUAAUAUAUUAAACCCAGAUAAAUUUACAUAUAAAUCACACAAACCAACAUGCCAAUCAAAUAAAUUACAUCAACUAACAACAAUUGACACAUUAAUUUUCAUAAUACAGAGGAUGCAGAAAAUUAAAAUGUUUUAUCUUUUCUCCUUAUUUGUGAAUUGGAAAAUGAAAAUGUUAAACAUACAGAAGAGUGAAACAGGAUGGAUAUAUAUACACACACACACACACACAGCUUUGGAGUUCAAUGUCAUCGUAUUGCUCCAAGAAGAUUGGCGCCAUCAAGCUUUGCACCUUCCAGAUGCUGUUUAAUCAUCACCAUAACACCUUCAGUAGACAUUAAUACAUAAUAGAAACACAAAAUUCACAUGAUCUGAAUGUCUGGUCUAUUUUACUUACCGUAUCUCGAAGAUUUACGUGCCGUAAAUAAGCUCUUUGAAGGUUGGCACCCUUUAAAUUGGCAUUACGUAGCUUUGCACCCUGCCGCAUAAAUGUUCGAAGUUUCAACAAAUUAAAGUCUCCUGAGAAAUACAUGUCACGAAAAAGUAGGGCUGAAACUUGCAUCUAAUGUACAAGAUUCAAUCAGGGGUGCUUGUCCCACAGUGAAAGUGUAUGGGGGAAAGUGCACUUUCACAAACCAAAGGGGCAAGAUGUGAUUAUCACACGAUUACAAAAGGACUGUAGUCAAGAGAGAGAACUGAACAUGCAGCUUGUAUUGAGGCCAUGAAAAUUGAUGAAAAGCAGUAACAAGCAACCAUUUUGAAAACACUUCAUAUGGUCGAAUCAAUAAAUCAAAGCUAAAAUGAUGUUGACGAUCGAUAGCUUUUAGGUGAUAAGAGUCUUGGCACUACAGUUAAAAUUAUUAUCUAGGAGUGCACACAUUAAUAAAAAAAAACACAACCAAUAAGCAUGCACUCUUAAUCAGCAUAUAAAUUAACAAGUUAGUUGCACCUUAUGUUGUUCCACAAACAGAUUGCUCGAACAAUUCACAAUCUUACCUUCAAAUUAGCUCCUUCCAAAUUAGCUCCCUCUAGGUUGGCAUUAGUAAGAUCAGCAGUCUGAAAAGUCAAGAGGACAAACAGAUUGCAAUUUGAUUAAAAUCUCAAAGUAGCAACAUUCUGCAUGAAAGAAGAGCAGCACAAUUGGCAACAUACAUUUUAGAUUAAGAGGAUGGGAUAAAAGCAAAAUUACAAGGACAUGAAGCAAAUGAGCCAUGUUUAGUAUGGCAAUUUUGACCCAAUAAUUGUGGCAGGUCUUGGAGAUAACAUAGGCAUACACAUAAGGCAGAAGCAAAUACUGUCGCAAACUCCUAGCUAACUACAAAUGUUCCAUAUAGAAAAAAACACCUGCAAAAGUAAGGGAAAAAGCAACAGAUAAAGAACUCAAGAUGCUAGACCUGUAAGUGUGCAGAUCGCAGGUCUGCUCCACAGAAGCUGCAGUCUAUCAAGCAAGCAUCUGCAAUGAUUUAAGAUAAAUUUGAAUCCAAAUGACAUUUUACCGCAAGUAGUUCCAGCCAUUUUGGGAACAAACAAGAAAUGCUAUUUUGUAUUCAUUGUAAUUCCUUAAGCUAAAUAACAAUCAUGUGCUAUCUUAACCAAGGUACAGUUGCAAAUUCUGAAAUUGUGAUGCCAUAGGUUGUUCUUAAUCUUUUUGAACUGAAUAUUGAAAAAAUAUUCCUUCAAUCAUAAAUGUUAAAUAAUUAAAAGAACUGUGAGGGGGGNNNNNNNNNNNNNNNNNNNNNNNNNNNNNNNNNNNNNNNNNNNNNNNNNNNNNNNNNNNNNNNNNNNNNNNNNNNNNNNNNNNNNNNNNNNNNNNNNNNNNNNNNNNNNNNNNNGGGGGGGGGGGGGGGGGAAUGAAUAAGCGGAUGCAUACAGAAAAUUAUGGAAAAUCUGUUAUGGAAAUAAUAUGAAAAUGGGUAUGCAUAACUACAUACUGAAUCUUGACUAAUUUCAAUUUAAUUCAGAUAAGAAAUUCCAGUAUGGGAAUUGCCUUGUAAAUUUGCACUCUGAAGAUUUGCACCAGCUAGUAAAGCUCCACGAAGGUUUGCCCCAGCAAAUUCACAUCUUCCCUAGGCAAGAUAAAACCCUUAAAAGGCAAUUUUGAAAAAUACAUAUAAUUGGGAGAAUAUCCAGUAUUGCUUUGACUCUCUUACUCACGCAAAGUUGCAUUGUGAAAAAUGGAACCCUCAGCAUCCACAUCCUGUAUCAAGAACAGACAGAUUCAGUAUGAUUAAUAUAACUGGUUGCUGGAAGACAGGACAAAAUCGCAUCUUGUCACUGUCAACUUGCAUGUUAAGAAUUAAACACGAAAACUGCAUGCUGUCCAAUUAUAAGAAACCUAUAAAAUUCAAAUCAACAUCAAUACUGGCUUAAGGAAGAUAUAAAAAUAAAAAUUAUACCAACCCGAAAUUUCGCAGAUUGAAGAUUUGCACGUGAGAAGAAAACAUUUCUAAGACACGCAUAGCUGAAGUCCACAAGUGAAAGAUCCUGGCCAUUUUAAUAAGAUAGCAUCAGAGGAAACAAUAUCUAAUGAAUAUAUAAUGUUCUUUCUUGCUUAUCUGAGAAUACUAAUGAGAUUAUCAAAAAAACUCUAAGCUACUGCUAAGAAGUCUUGUGUUACAUGAGUAUGAAUUGAGGAGGUAAAGAAGACCCUUCUCCAAUAAGUUACCAUAGAAGCCACAUAAAACCCUAAAGCAGUUACAAACUUACAAUGACCAGAAUAAACCACCCCAACUAUCUAUUGGCAAGUAAAAUCACUUCUCUGGAUUUCUGAAAACUAGCAAAACAAAUGCAUAAAUUGGCAAAUUCGAUGAUUUCCUCUGAAAACCAAAUUAUAGCAGACAUAAAACUUGGAAGUAUUCAUAGAAUAAAAAUCUUUCAAGCACCUCAAUUCAGUAAUUAUUACCAGCUUAGAAAGAUCAAGGCCAGAAAGAUUAAGUCCUCGAAAUCUGACUUUUUCAGACUGUAUACACUUGAUGAUAUCAAUGCGUGUUAGCUCAGUAUCUAACUCAUUAUCUUCCUUUCUCUUAUUUAUGACAGCAUGGAUUCUCUCAAUUAGUCCCUGAAAUGAAACACAUUAGAUGCAAACUAUUAUUUGAAAAAAGAAAUACAUUUUAUCCACUAACACACAUGGAUUUCAACAGCAAUCAUACAAUAAUUGAGGAAGGACGGUCAUAUCAGACUCAUCUGCCAAGAUUCAAUAAGCACAUCAAACUUGUUUACAUGUAAUUUCCACAUUCCACGUGAAUUUAUAAGGUCUGCCUAAGCAAACCAAAGAAGGCUACACUCAGUACUGUGUGUAUACUGCCUUACCUUUGCUGUUCCCCAGAUACCGUCCUGCAAUCCAGAUACUUAGCUGUGAAGUUUCAAGCCAGCGAAACCAUUUUAAAAGUACACAUGGACACAGAUACCAUUAUCUGAAUCAUCUUCGAUAACAAAUUAAAAUGCCCUAGCGUUCAAAAAACUUAGGAUCUCUUUAAGUGAAGUUCCUUUAAAAAAGUAGAAAAAAACUGAACAACAAUGUCAUGCUAAUAAAAGGUAAAAAAAAUAAAAUAAAAUAAAGCAUAAGGACAGAAGUUCACCAGGAGCAUGCCAGUAUAAACCAAAACGACCACAAAUCUCAACCAUAAAAUUUAAAGUAGUAAAGUAAAUAAUCAAGGGCAUGCAGUUGGCACAGGUGCUUCCAAAUAAAAUGAUGAUUCUUUUCAAACAGAAAAAAGAAAUGGAUGUUAAUAAACUAGAAGAAACCAUGUCUUACAAGUAAUUGAUAAUAUUCUGCUUCCCGUAGAAGCUCUAAAAACUCUGACUCUGUUAAUGUGGGGACAGCCCCAUCCCUUAACCAAUUCAGAAUAUGCCGAAAAUGUUUUCCGUCCCUAUCAACAAAGAUAUAGCCCUGCAAUAAUUCAAUAUGCUCAAAGAUAAGAAUCUGAAUAAUAUACCCAAGAGAAGUGCUUUUCCCUGGAAUAAUAAAAAGAAAAUAAGUCAAAACGUUUUUCUUAAUGGAAGAACACAAAGGAACAGCUCUAUGACUAACAUGAAAACCAUAAAUCAGAAUAAGAACCCAAAACUGGUCAUUUGGAGUUUCACCAGAUCAAAAAGAUCACAUGGAAAUAAAAUUGUGAAAAUGGGAUUAUUUAUGCCGAGGUCAUGGCUAAACUGCAAUCAUUACUCCAUUUUUGGUAGAAGGAGAAGAAGAAAGAAGAGUAGGUGAGUCAUCAUUCUUUCAGGUGAGUCAUCAUUCUUUCUCUGUGAUUAAUUGAUAUGAUGGAAGUGUUGUAGAUAUUAAUUUGAUAGUGAUUCCUCCCUUCAAAAGAAUUCAUUCCUUUUUUUAUUAUUUCACAAAGUUUAACUAAGACUGAGUUUUCUCAAUUUGAAGGCAUCGUGCACUCUACCCCUUUCUUUUCCUCACAUUGCUUCUUCCCAAUCCCAAAGGGAAGAAAUCAAGAAACAAUUACAAUUUUUAACUAUUCACCAGCAAAAACAAGGCAAAGAAAGAUGCUGAGUGUAAGCAAAAAUAAGAGAGUUAUACACCUCAGAGUCUUGGCACACAGUAUGGCGACCGCUGAACAUAGCUGCAAGCAUAGAUUCAGGCUCACGACGAGUCAGAGUAUCAAUUGUUGUAUAAAAUUUCUUUCCCCCUGGAUAUUAAUACAUAAAAUAUAAAUUUGUUCACUUAAAAGCAUGAAUUGUGCAAAUUUGUCAAUAAUGUCAUUCUUUCACAAACGUUCACCGAAAUGUAUAACAAUAAGUGCAUCAUAACAUAACUAAACGGCUUAAGAACUGCGCAGAUAUUACAUACAGUAGAGAAACAAGAAAUAGAAAAUGAGAUUUGCCCUUUUUAAACAGAAAGCAAUCAAAGAGUAAACUAAAGAGCUAAUAAUUCACAAAAUUCAGUUGAUUAAACUCAUUUACAAGUAAUUAGCAACAAAAUCCAAGCUAAAUAAAAAUAAUGAAAAUUAGGUUCUUAUAACAUCCGUCAAUUCUAUGAAAGUUUACCACGAUCAGCAACAAAUAGAUAAAUCGCAAUAAAGAAAAACCGACGACAUGUCGGUUGUGUAGUGCAUAAGUAAAGGAAUUUGCAGAUGAUGUAAAGAGAAUGAGGGAUAGUAACUGACCGAUGUUGAGACGAACCAUUGAAGACGAAUCGGAGUCCUUCGCCAUUGUCGAGUGUAAUGACUUGUCGUCUUACUUGCGCUCAUAGGUAUUUAUAUCAUAGCUGACACUGUUCGAAGGACAGCAAGGAUUUGGUGGGCACAAAUGCAUUUUGGAAAUUGGGCUUCGGCCCAAGAAAUCGAAAAUCAGAGGCUUUUUUUUAAAAAAAAUUUAAAAGGAUUAGAAUGUCUAUAAAUUAAUAGGGCUGAGACCAUCUUAAAUCUAUUAAGUAAAAGAGAUAUUAAAUAUUUUAUUAAUUAAUAAUUUAUUAAUUUACAGAAUUAUUUAUAAUUCAAUUAACAUACAUUUAAUAACUAAACAUUCAAUGUACAUAAUUUCUGAUUACAAUUCAAAGCACUAACAAUACUUCAUAAUUUCUUAUUACAAUUCAAGAAUUCAACCUCAUAGCUUUUAGAUGCAAUAAGAAAAAUAAGAAAUAAGAUUCAGUUAUAUUUAAAUUUUAAGAAAAAAACAAUAAAAUCAUAUUUUAUGUAAUUAAAAUAUCAUAGUCAACUACAUUUGUAAUUUCAACAAAUUAUUACUCUAUGAUUUAAAUGAGACCACAAAGUUAUAUAAGAUUUUAUCGAAAUUAUUAAUUUAAUCCAUUAGUCCAUGUCAAGACCUUGAAAAUUUAAUAAUUAUAUAAUAGAGAUUAUUAAUUUAUCGAGUAUUAAUUUAUAGAAGUUCUGAUUGUAUAUUAUUUUAUAUUAAUAAAGAAUAAAGUAGCAUUCUUUUUUAAUUCCGAAGUAAUAAAAUUAUGGCUAAAUUAAGAGAGUAGAUAUAUUUUAUAACUUGGUUUAAUAACAUCACGCGCCUCCCUUGUAGUUUUGCAGCUUUGAAGCUUUAUAAUGAAUCCUAUUAGCUUUGGCUGGAAAGUUAUAUUGUUAAAGAGAGUUUAUAUAUUAAACAAGGUGAUCUAAUAUUUCCAAAACUAAAUUUGGGAUCAAAAAUAGAAAACAUUUGCAUGUUUUUACCUUUUGGAAGAAUUACUUGAUAAGUGCUUCACAGAAAAAUGCUUGCUAUUAUAGAGCACCCUAAAAAAAAUCCUUAAUAAUUGAGGGAUCAUAAUAAAGUUCAAUUCUAAAUCUGUCAGAUAGAUCGAAAGUAACAAACCAUAUAUAUUUAAAUCUAUUUAGUAAUCCAGGGUUACAAGCCAAGCGUGCAAUAGCCAAUUCUGAAAAUCAAAGCUCAGCCUAUGCUCUCUGAGCACAAAUAAGAUCUGAUAUAUACAUAUCGAAUCCUCCAUUAUGUGGAGUGAAAUUUCCAUCGUGUACGGUGUACCUAACAAUGAGAAAGCAUGGCAGCAUAAAUUCAUCUUCCAUGUUAUUCUACUUAUUAGUACUGGUUCCCUCAUAACUUCUCCAAAUCGGGGAGGUCUGCAAUGUGUAAAGCACGUAAUCAGAUAAAAGAAAGAGAGCCAAAAAAAAAAAAAAAGGUAACAGCCAAAAGAUUAAAUUUCUUUGAGAAAUAGAAAAUGGGAGCUUUUGGCAUAGGCACAGAAUAGAAAGUAACAGAGUCAUUUACAGUUGUUCAGAAUAUGCAAGCUGAAAACAACUUUGAAUGCAAUGGACAAUUCCUCCAACAAACAAUCGAAUUGGAUUGUGGAAGAGACAAAAGCUUAAUGAGGUUAUGGUUUUGGCUAGGUGAACUCAAAAUUCUUUUAUAGACCAAGUAGGUAAAAACAAAUCCCAUAUAGAUGGAUGAACCUCAUACCAUGAACAGUUAAUCGCGAACACUUGCAGGCUUAUGCACACGACUAUGAAGAUACUAAGGGUUUCACCGAUGGUAAGUGAAAAAUAUAUGAUGUAUAAUUUAAAUGGAAGCACAUAGUUUCGGAUUGAAUUCAAGGUUAAAGUUCCACAGACAGACAGAAGAGAUGAAGCUUAAAAACUUACAGAGCAUUCCUUCAUCAUCACUGCUUUCAUCAUUUUGGCCAACAUGCUGAAAAAAGAAUAUGAUUCAAGUUAAAUGAUUGAGCAACAAUAAAAAACGUGCAAAAUUAAUGCUCUCUCCACAAAAAUUUCAGUCUAUAUUGGUAAGAAGAAACAGGAAGAAAAAAUUACCUCAGCAUCAUCGUCAUUGGAAGCCAAAUCAGCUGUAAAGACCACAAAAUGUUUGGUUAGAACCAGUGGAAGUCUUACUCUAAAAUUUUUAAUUUUUGAAUUUCGAAAGAUCUCGUAAUGACAAAGAUUUUCAUAUCCAGUGACCAAGUUUUGAAAAUUAGAAUACGGAAUGACAUCAACUAAAUUCACUAAUAUAAGCUAGAGGAAUCCCUAGUAGAUAUAGCGCACAUGCACACAUGAUAUGCAUCCGAAUACACAAUAAUAAAUUAUCUCAAAGUCAAUAAGAAGCCAAAAUUAGAGAUAAACUUUUAGCCACUAUAAGGAAGACUGAUAUUUGCAGUGUGAUUACAAUAAACAAACAGAAACUUCACUACCCAUAAGUAAAACAAAAUAAAUAAAGGAUAAUAACUAACCAAGAAAUGGAAAAGCUCACAUUCUCUGAACACGCACCCCAAAAAGAAAGAAAGAAAUAAAUGUUCUCAUUGGAUCUGAAGCACAAGCAAUCCACUGACAUCCUUCUAUAAUUAGGUAAUUUAAAGGGGUUAAGCUCACAUCUUUUACGGAAGUAAGAAGAGAAUUAACAACCUUCCAGAGGAUUUAGGGAAAUACCACGAGGCAAGAAAAAAGAAAUAUCCUUCUUCAAUCUAGAUAUCCUGAUACUGCUCACCAUCUACAACAGUCUGUGGCUUAAAAAGCAGGUCACUGAUCUCUCCCUCCCUCUGGCACCAUUUUCUCUCAUGUCUCAUUUUUCCCUUCCUGCCAACUCCCACUACAGUAUUGAAACCUAUUCUAUCAACUCUUCCCCCUCCAAUAACAAGACCAAAACCAAUUUUACUCGCCGGUUAGCUAGGUAGUAAAUGGAAAUUUGUGAAUCUGUCAUUCAUCCGUAGAAACAAACCAGAACUGCAUAAAUUCUCUUCUCUCCCAACAGCUUCUUUUCUCCAGAAAUAGGCACAAGUAUUUGACAUGGAAACAGUUUAUCUAACAUGGCCACCUUUAAAGACAAAGACAUACUAAGGACGUGGUUUUAGAUACGGAUACAAGAAACAAUCACAAAAUGUAAAAUCUAUACAUAUGAUAUUAAUUUCCAAUGGAUACAGCAAUUCAUUCUUUGACAUAACUUCAUCAGAUUACUAGGUUUGAUUAGGUUAUACACACAUUUAUUCAUUUAUUGAAUCUACAUGCACUUAGAAUGAGAGGUACCUAUAAAAACAAGUUACCAGAAAACAAUACAGCUAGAAAACAUUAAUCUAAGUAGUUCUAUAGGUUUAACUAACUGCAGGAAAAAACCAUUGAUUUUGUCCGCCAGAUUAUCGAGAUCCUAAUUCUGGUAAAAAGAAAAUGAGAUAAUAGAAAAUCAAAAAUUAAAUAGACACAAAAUGAGAAAUCAAGAUCAUAUGGCAACUAAUAUAUAGCAUGGGCUGCAGCUAACAAGCAAUAUAAGCCAUGAUAUUAUGCCAGAUACAAAUUUUGAGAUCCAAGAGAGAUCAAGAAGCAUGAAUACCACUAAAAUAUCGAAAGAAGUGAGUGCAGAAGGAUAAGAAAUCAGGUUGAUAUUCUUCAUACUUUGGAUCAACACGUAGUGAUGCAAUAAACUUGUAAUUAGCUUCAAAUGUAUAGGCUACCAUGUCAACAUUUCCGAAAACACACAAGAUUGUGCUGGAUUCAUACAUAGUACAUAUAUAAAAAAACAAUCUGCUUCUAAACUUCAUGAGAACAUCGAAUAAUGAACUUACAAUUUGAUCCCUCAUCAUCUUCAUCGCACCAUUUGUUCCAAUCAACCUUAAUGUAAGGUGCUGGUUUCUCUUCUGACUUGAGUAGCCUUUUCCACCAACCUUUCUCUUCUUUUUGGACCGAGCAUAUUAUGUUCCUUAAGCCAACUUUAGUCUUACAUUUCUGCACCACCAGCAACAAAACUCAAAGCAUUACAAAAGAGGUAUAUUUAGCCGCUCUUGACUCGAGUGAGAGAACAGGAUAAAUAGCCUAGGUAUAUCCACAUCCAUGUUAUGAGAUUGAUUAUGCAACAGCUAACUUUAAUAUAAAGCUUUUGCUUCAACAAAGACUAAAAUGUUUGUAAUUGUUAUGCUUUUGGAGCUAAAAUGUUUGGCAAACACCCACUUUUACUCUGCACCUAAUAUCUACCACCCACCCACACACUAAGUCUCUCGUUUGGUACAGCUAUUUAUCAGUAGUGGCUUUAAGCCACAACAUUUAAAGCGAAUUUACCCUAAAAUUUUACAAUGAAAAACCUAUACUACCUUUAACAUUGUUGUCAAAAUUAUUAUUAUAAGUAAUAUUUACCAAACACUAUCAACUUCCAAUUCAUAUCAAAGAGCUUUCACUCCACAAUAGCCGUGUCUUCUUAAGCCAGAACAACACAAUACCAAAGGCCUUAAGCUAGUGAUUUGAUUUCACAACAACUGCAGAUCAAGCCUCAAUCCCAAACAUACAUAAAUCAAAUGCAGAAAGCAAAAAUUUAACAAUAUGUUUGGUAUACUAAAUGUCUUUCAUAGUUUCAUUUCACAGGGUAUUUAGACAUGCAAUGAUAAAUUGGAGCAAUUUCAAGAACCGAAUUGACCUCAGGUAAAAUUUUGCCAAAAAGUUCCAAGCUGAAGUCGUAAAGCUCGCCUUGGACUCCGACGGCCGAGAAGCCAAAAAUCCCCUGAGGCUCGCAUUUCACAGAAAUGUCUUUCGCAUCGGGUAAUGAAAUGGUAAGGUAUACUUUAUCGGAGCGCUGAGCCCAAAGAACCUCCGGAUGGCGACUGAACAUAAAAGAAAUAAUAAUAAUAAUAAUAUUAUUAUUUUUUAUUGUGACAAUUUUGAACUAAUAAUUAGAGACAUUUAACAACAAUAUUGAUUAAUAUUGGAGAAGAAAAAUAAGGUUACAAGAGAGAAUCAGAAAGAUUACCUCAUUCUGGUGGAUGAUUGAAAACGGUGGGUCGAUUGAUGAACAGAAGUGUAACUGUCUGGGAGUGAGAGUGACUCUGCUGUUUACUGGGUAGAGUGUGCUUACUCGAAGAAAUUGAAAGUGAUAAUCUCGGGCAAGCCAACACGUCGAUUUGGUCAACAGUGGUCCAACAAACCAGGAACUAGGUUUUUUUUUUUAAAUGAUUUUUUUUUUCAGUAUUAUAUUGCCCCGCCCGUGGGCUAUUACAUUUUGGCCCUUUUGGGGACCCCUCGUUCUCUUACAAGAAGGGAAUAUUCUUUUCCAUCCACCGGUUUGUAGGCAGAGUACAUAUACUCUUCGAAAUUAAGGACAAAUUUCUGAAUCGUGCCGCAUUAGAAUUAAAUUGAGUCUCAAAAGAAUUUUGGUUAUAAGUAUAUCGUUCAAACGGUAAUAUAUUAAAAAAAAUAAUAUUUACUACAAUGUAGACCUAUCGGGACUUUGAAGCCCAGACCAAUUCUUGAGUCUAGCCUAAUAACACCUCAACAGAUCAAAAUUGAAAUCCAACUUAAAUUUCAAUAUUGUGUAGGGAUCUGCCUUAAUUUAGAUAUGUCAAGACCUGCCUUAGGCAUCAAAGUGAUCUAUCUUAACAUAACUAAGACUUUCUUUAAACAUCACAAUGAUUUAUCUUAACGUAGUCAAAUCUAGCCUAAAAAAAUCUAAAGAAGGAAAAAAGAAAUUAUUUUCACGUAUUGAGAGACUUAAAUUCUUAACCUUAUUCAUAAGAAAAAAAAGUGUAUUACUUAACUAAAUCGUGACUAAAAAUUAUAAUUAUUAUUUUUUGUACAUUUAGCUUUAAAAAAUCAUUAUAUAUAUAUAUUCAUAUAAGUUUUGACAUAAUAUACAUACCACUUAUUUGUUUUUUAAAUUAUACGAGAAUGAAAAAACUCAAGCAUUAAACACCAACUUUUGUUUCAUGCUAUCAAUCAACUUGAGAAAUUUUAUAAUAUAUCGGAAGUUCUACGUCACAAUUUAAUACGAAGCCUUCGAUUAAUAAUAAUUAGACACAUGACAAUAGAUGCUAGAGAAAUUUUAAAUUCCCUCUUUUCAUUAUCCCUCCAAAUUUAGAAUUUCAAAAAAUUAGAGAAUAAAUGUUGCUUGCUCUCUUUGUUAUCUAAUUCUAAUUAUUAUUUUUUUCUCUCUCUCUCCAAUCAAGUUGCUAGCAUUUUUUAAAUCUAUUGAAGAAUAAGAAGAAGGUUUUUGUCGAUGAAAUGAUUUUGGCAGCCUUUUUUACCCAAAGCUAACAUGAUUGCUGCGACUACCAAUGAAGAAAAAGAUGUGUUUUGCUGGCGAAGAAGAUGAUUUUUGAAGCAUGAGUGGCUGCCGUUUAUUUUUUUCCUUCAUAUUUUUCGAUGUAGUGGCUGUCCUCAAGUUUUAUUCAUUUACUUUUCAGUUGGCCUACUAUUUAUUGGCAUAAUGAAAAAUUUUAUUUUAAUAAGCAUUUAUAGAUUAAUUUGAGGAGGUUUCUUUUGCAAUAUUAGUGUGGUUUCUGCAUUGGUAUGAUUUAAAUUACGAACUUGCUACAAUCUUUAAUUAAACUGUCAAAAGUAAUUUAAAAAAUCUUUAAUUAAACCGUCAAAAGUAAUUUAAAAACUGACAGUAGAUAGAUUAGAGAUAGGCUUGACAAUUUAGCCCGACUCUAUUUUUAGUCUGAUUGAUCCGAUCCUAAUUUUUAAGACUUUGGCCUGAAUUUUUUGAUUUCGGGUCGGGUUCGGGUCAAAAUUUUAAGGCCCGAACAAAUUUAGGGUCAGGGUCGGACUUAAAACCAACCCGACCCGACCCUAUUUAAAAAAAAAAAAACUAACACACGCACACAACACAUGACAGUUCACUCUCUCUAAAUCGUAAAUCACACACACAAAAUACACUUACACAAAUUCACAAAAACCCUAAGCCAGCCACCCAGCCUGCUGCCGUCCUAUCAGCCAACAUCGUGACCGUCCGCCGCACGCCAGCCAAUCAGCCGUCGUCUCGUCGUCGCAUGUCUCACCAAUCAGCCAUCGUGACCGUCUGCGACGCUGCGACAUGAACUUGAACCAGCCGCCCUUUGUCGCCGUCCUGCCGCAUCCGCCUGCCAGCCAACGAUCAAUGCACACAGUUGAAUUGUGGGGUGGGAAAUGGUUUCGAUAGGGUCGGGCUCGACCCGACCCUAACUAUAAAGAGGUAGGGCUUUUUUAGGGUCGGGUUUUAAUUUUUUGUUGAUCGGGUCGGGUCGGGUUUGGCCAAACCCGAGCCCGACCCGACGUUUUGCCAUCCCUAAUUAGAGAUGAAGAUUGGAGAGAGAGAAAAAUAUAAUUUGAAUGAGAUAAUAAAGAGAGAAGAAAUUCUAUAAUACAUCAUAAGUAAUAUAACUCAUUGAUGUAUGCAUGAUAUAUGUAAUUAACCUUAAUAUAACUAACACUUGUAUGGUGAUAUUUCAAAAUAAAUAUACAUAUGUUAUAAAAUCAUUUACUUAUUGUAUGACUGACAUUUUAUUUUUGAUGUAUUGUACAAUUUCUCAGAAGAGAGUAGUAUUUAUUAUCUCUAAUUUUUUGAAAUUCUAAAUUUUGGAAGGAUAAUAGAAAGAGAAAUUUUAAAAAUUUUUCAACGUAUAAUGCCAUGUAUCUAAUUAUUAUUAGUCGGUGUUCCACGUUAAAACGUAAUAUAGAACCUCUGGACCUUACUGUAUAAUGUACUGUAGAAUUUCCUGAUCACACACUUUCUCAGUUGCAAAAGAGGUGGGCAUAUGAGUUCCUUACGGGGAUUUAGUGUGAAUCCACGCAAAGCCCAUAUAGAUUUUUCCGGUUAACCGCUAUGGCAUCCUAGUUUUAAACUCAGUACUAAAUUUACAGAUCCAUUUAAACCCCCCAAAUCAGUCUCUCACCGUCUCAAGUCUCAAACAAAAAACCUGACCGGAACCCAAACCGCCAAAUCCGAUUCGAUGGUGGACUGUGCUAAAACCCCUAAAAUUCCAAGACUGACAUGCGGUAAAGGAGAUGGUGAUAGACUUAGCAAUCUUCCGGAGCACAUCAUUUAUCACAUAUUCUCGUUCAUGGAAACAGUUGAUGUUGUUAGAGCAAGCACUGUUUCGCGAAGAUGGAGGUACUUGUGGCUUUCCGUUCCUUAUUUGAACUUCGACUAUCACACAAUUUGGUCAGACCCGGAAAGUAGAUGGUCUCGUAGGAAAAUCAAUGAUAAGUUCAAAGAUUUUGUCAACUGGGUAAUAUUUUCUCAAAAUGGGUCUGUUAAUAUUCAAAGAUUUCGUCUUUGCUGCUGGGAUUAUUUAGCAAGUUACGAUAACGAUAGAACGAUUUACAGAUGGGUUUCUGCUAUGGCACGUCGAAACGUGCAAGUGCUUGAUCUGGCUAUAGCUUCACUAUACCCAUUUGAGUUUGACUUGCCACAUAGUCUUGUAACUUGUGAUUCAUUGGUGGAACUGAAGUUGAGUUUGAGCUUUCAUGUUCACCGAUGUUUUUUAAAGCUGCCUACUGCUGCUGGUUUUAUUGGGCUCAAGUCUCUUGAUUUACAAAGUGUUGCGUUGGAUGAUAAUUUGUUUCCUGAAUUUAUUUCAAAUCUUCCCCUGCUUGAGAAUUUGUGUAUGUUGUCAUGUGUUUUUCCUGAAUUGAAGGUUCUUGACAUUUCUUCCACUAAUUUGAAGAAUUUGGCUCUGGAAUCCAUUGUUGGCAAUGAUAAUGCUGGCAAUGAUGAUGCUGGCAAUGAUGAUGCUGGCAACUACAAGCUUAAGAUUGCUUGUCCAAAUCUUGUGUCUUUUAAUUAUAUAGCUUUAGCUCCAUGGUUACCUCACUUUGCUUUUGAGAGCUUAAACUCCUUGCAAAAUGCAUUCAUUGACCUGGAUGAUUAUAACGAGGAUGACAUGGAGAACGAAAGAUGUCAUGUUUUAUCUACAAUCUUCAAUGACUUUCGUGAAGUUAAAGUUUUGAAAUUAUCAGAAGCCAUUCUUCUCGAGGUAUGAUUUCAAAUACAUUCAUUGCACCAAAUCAUGAUUCUGCCAGAACUUGUCUACACUUUUUUAUUUUGACAUUAGAAAUGAAGCUUAAGUAAACUGAAUCUACUUUCUUUGUUUGGUAAAAUAAGAAUUCUAUUGAUUAUGGAACCUUCCUAAAUGCUAAUUUGUUCUUUAGACUGUGUAUAAGUCAUUGUGACAUUGUAUGAAGUCUCAUUUAUCUGAGUAAUCAAUUGUUAUUGAUGUCAAAGACUAGAACUCAUUGGUGACUUGAGUUUAUGUAUAUUAUCGUUUGUUAGAUUUUUUGUGUGAUUAUUGCACUUAACUUGACUAAUGUAUUCUCUUUCUUUUUGCCAUUGUUCCUCCAGGUUCUUGAUCCUGAUCCUGCUCACGAAGAACCAGCAUUUUUUUCCACUUCAUUCAAUAAUUUGAAGUCCUUAAUACUUUCUGCAGGUCCGGGUGUAUGUCUCAUGCCAUCAAUGCUUAGGUUGCUCAACUGCUCUCCAAAUCUAGAAGCUCUUGCAAUAUAUUCUCCUAAGGUAAUCUUAACACCAAAAACUAUUCCAUUUGUUAGAUACCGUCGCUUCUAUCCAUUUUUUUUAAAAAUCAUAUCUCCCAUUUAUGUGCUAAAAUUUUAAUUUUGUUAAAGUGCAACUGGGCUUUGCUUAAAUUAUCGCAAUAGAGUUGAAACCUGAAAGUAUUUGUGAUAUAUUAUGUUUACCGCUUAGAGCUUAAAGUAAAUGUUAAUCUUGUGGCCUCUUGGUUGUUCCCAUGCUAUUGCUUGUUGAGCAGAUGGUUGAAUUUAGAGUCAAUCAAUCGGUUGUGUUCUUCUGAGGUUUGUGCAAGUUUUGUAAAAGAGCAAAGUUUAGUAUUUGUUUAGUUUGUGAAAAUGAUAUAGCUUUUUCUAAUUCAUCUUACUCUAUUCUUUGCUUAAAAAUGAAUUCUCCUUUUGAUUUGAUUCCUUGACUGCAUUUCGGUCUGUUUUCUCUUGGCAGCAUCGGCGUGGAUAUAAUGCUUAUAGGAAAACACCGAACAAGGCUGCUAUUUCAUGUUUGACAAAUCAUCUCAAGACAGUUGAAAUAAAACAUUUUAGCGGUGAUAUGAAUCAACUUGAAAUUGUGAGGUUUCUUCUAAGGAAUGGACAUGUAUUGCAGAGAAUGAGUAUUAGAUGGGUGGCAGAUGUUAAGAAUCAAGGGAAGAUUAUCUCAAGGAUAAUGAAGUUUCGGAGAUCAUCUUCAAGUGUUGUGCUGAAAUUCCUAGAUCCUAAGCCAGCUGAUGAUUUUUCAGAUUAUUUAUUUGAUGAUGAGCAAAAGAACUAAAAUUAUGUUUAAAUUAAAAAAAAAAAAAGUGGUUUAAGUGUAUGUUCGAAUUAAAUAGUCUUUUGGAUUUGUAGAAACUGAAAGGAGUACAGUGCCAGUCACUGUGGCAGCCUUAUGUUUUGUUUGAAAAAAUUCGGAAGCUUCUAAAUUGUUAUAUACCUCAAUUCUGAAGUCGUUAGUAUGUAUAUUAUAAGCAAUACAUAUGUUCCAUUUGUCAUAUUUUAUUUUGGCAUUACGAUUGUUUUGUCUUGAUUAAUAUUGAUUAUAAUUUGUUUAACAUUUAUCUGGCAUAUGUAGAAUUAUACUUUAUCUGAGUAGAUGACGCUGCUGCGUACAUCUUCAGGACUCGGUCAUAAACUGUUUAUCUCUGCGUCUGUCUAGCAUCCAUCCACGUAUGACCUGUCGGCUUUUUGCCCGCAAGCAUACAGUUAGGGGUGGUAAAAAUAUCUGUCCGGUCUGGAUUCGGUUCGCACCCGGAUGUUUUAUCCGGCCCGGUCUUGGGCAUCAUUUGAUAAAUUCGGAACCCGAGUUUUAUUAAGCGCCUUGGCCGUACAGCAGUAUAUUAUUUUAAAUAUUUAUAUUUAUUUGACUCAUUUAUUACAUAUAUAUAAAGUUUUAGACACUUAAAGUUUAUAUUUUCAUGUCAAAUUUCAUUAAAAUAAAUUUAAAACUUAUAAAAUUACCAAAAAAUAAAAAAUAUAUACAUAUAUAAUAUUAAAAAAUAUAAAAUCUGGGUACCCAAAUUAAAACCCGGCACAAUCCGACCCAGGCAUCUAUGCAUCCGGGUCGGGUCCGGUCAUUACGAUACCCCGACCCAGCCCAGGGUUUUGCCAUCCCUACAUGCAGUGUAUAUGAAUUGCAGUUCUUGUACGGACAACAUGUCAUCCAUAAAACUCGAGUUAUGUUCUUUUUAAUCUUUAGUUUAGAUUACAUUUUGCAAAACUAAUAAACGAUAGAGCUCCUAGCAAGGUCAAUAGUUAACUGCGAAUCCAGAAGAUCGGAAUGCUAUACCUUUCAAACAUGCAUUUCAAAGCCAUCUGCGGAAAUGGAAAACAAGCAUUUCAAACUCGUUGUUAAAACAAUGAUAAAAGUAAUUUUAAUCCUAAUUUUUAAUUCCAGGCAUGAAGCUAACUCAUAUACAAAGAGAUAUCAAGUAAGCAGAGGCGAAAGCUAAAAGCUUUGGUUACAGGGGUCGGUGUGAAUAAUGUAUAUAUCGUUUAGACAUAUUUUUGAAUAUCUAUUUUAAUUUAGGGGAUAUUAUAUAUAUUUAAAAAAAAUUAAAAUUUUUACGGGAGCCAUGGCUUACUAUAGUCUCCAUUAAGAUUCACCCUCCCUACUUUUCGUACUUCAUUAAAGUAUAGGAUAAAUAUUUACAAUAUUAUAAAUAGAUUUUAUAAAAGCAGUCCAUAUAUGAAAGUCCUUCUGCACUCUGAAUUAAAUAAAAAUAACGUGAGACUAACAAUUUAAGAGUCUUUUUUGCAACGUAUAUCGUGCAGUGAUGUACUCUAUCGACGGAGGACUCUCUUCAUAUGCUUUUUAUUUUUCCAUGCCUGAUUAUAAAUAGGAUCACUCUAUGUUACAUUAAACGUAACGUACACACACUCACAACAACAGUAACAAGUCCCAUCAUUAGAACUGUUGCUGUGAGUGCGUGUAUGUUACGUUUAACGUAACAUAUCACUAGCCUUAUAAAUAACAUCACUUUUAAGGAUUUUUACAAAUUUUUAUUACAACCGUAACUUUUGUCCUCAUACAAUAACGGUGUCCAUUGUCCACAUAUAAAAAGUUCAUCAAUAAACAUAUAACCUAAUUAAAAUUCGUGACAAAAUCCAAAGGAAAGAAAGCGUGGAGUAAUAUAUAUAACAAAGGCAUUGAGCAUACACCAGGUGUAAUUUGCAUUGCAUGGCCACCCUUACGUGGCAGUUCCGCCGAUUAACACAUCUUUAAAAGUUAAAGCCCCCCUCUCUCCUUGUUAAGGGCGUUUCAACACAACACUCAUCAAUGCAAGCAAAGAGACAGUGAAGGAAAAAUUAAGAAACCAAUAUUGUCACUUGGAAGAAAGAAACAAUCAUUACAUAUAUAAUACGAUGGAUACUAAGAACAACAGGAAGCAUUUGUCCUGCAUUGCCAACGACGUCGUUCACAGAUGUGCACUGUACGUAUCUCUCUCUCUCUCUCUCUCUCCUUUUCUUUUUCUCCCCGAUCACUUUGUUUUCUUUAUAUAUACGAAUGUAUGUAGAACGUAGUAGGUUUUGUAUAAAUAUCUGUUGCACACAUUAUUUGAUGUGCAUUUAAAUAUAAUUAAUGGUAAUUGAGAUGACACACAAAGACAAUGCAAAAAAAGAAAAAAAAAGAGAGAGUAAAUUAAUGAAUUUGCCUUGAUCCAGUUAAUUUGUGUGCAUUUAGCUGACUGUAAGGUGGUUUCGAGUGUGUUUUUGUUUGGCAACUUUUCACACAAAAGCACUUUUGGGAAGCACUUUAUGUAAUGUAAGUGCCUCUAAAAACUGUUUUAUGUAUUACUGCCAAAUGCAGUGCAGAGGUUACAAUGGGAGGGUCGGUUUUAUACCUGUUCUUCGAGACUUAAUUUCAAUAGGAGAUUGAAAUAUUUAUGAGAAUUAUGUUGUUAGCAGACUUAAUUCUUUUGGAGGAAUUCAUUCCAUCGUAGACCACUCAAUGAAUUUGGUCGAUUGAGAUUAUUUGAGUGCAUGCUUCAAAACUGGAGCAUUAAUUCUUUGACAUAAAUGGGCUUUAACAUAAGGCGCGUUCGCUUAUUCCAUUUAUUCAAGAAGUUGGCACUCAAUUUUUUAUUACUAGCCUUUAGAUGGCCAGCAGCCUUUUGUAGCCCUUUCUAGUUUCUACUAAAGUGGUUAUGUGCAAUAGUUCUAUUCUGGGUUGCAAAAUUAUUGUGUCAGUAGAAUCCACAUACAUUAUGUACUUUUCUGUAUUUAAUUUCAAGAGGCUUAGUUAUAUCAUAGUUUUAGGAUUAUAAUAAGUCUGUCCGUUACCAUGUUAUUGGAAUUUUUUUUUUUUUCUAAAUUAGUUGGACACAUUAUUGGAUUGGUCAAUAAAGGAAAGCAUUUGGCAAGUACUUGGUUUGAUAUUAACAUAUAGUUGCAGUAAAGCACAUUAACUUGUGCAUCCUGAAAUUCUUGCAGGCAAGUAAAGGCUUCUGAGGAUUCAUUGGUGGAGGGGUUUGAAGCUGAAUGGAAGCCUGAAAUCGGACAGUAUUCGAAGAAAUUUGUGGAAUAUUGCAGCAUAAAGGCUCUUACUAACAUGUGCCAGAGCAUAGAAGAAAAGAUUAGUGAUGGAUCAUUUAGUCGACUCACAUUUGAUAUGAUGCUUGCCUGGGAAAUGCCUAGUGCCGCCGAUGAGGAGUCUCAUACUGUAAGCAAUCAUCAUAAUACUCAUAUCCUAUAUUUAUUUCAUGGUCCACCAAAUCAUUAUGAUAUUAUCCCAAUUUUGGUGUGCCUAUCUUCUCUUCAAGUUGCUUCUUCUAUUUCUUUUUCAUUAUACAUUCUCUGGUUCUCAUCAGUUUUCGCUCCAAUUAAAAGAAGCAUGAAUUCUUUCACUUAUCUGCUGAAUCUGUUCUAAUGAUUGGGCAAUAGAUUUUUAUUCCUCUCUGUGGUUACUACUAUUUUGAUCUUGUGCAGGAGUGCAUGGGAAAGGAGAAUGAGGAUAGAAAGGCUGUAAAAGUCACUUCAGAUCAUGAUGAAAUUCCUCUCUUCUAUACAGACAUCAUGCCUCUUCUAGUAAGAGCGUCUCUUUCUGAUCAUUUGAGUGCUAAUGUACCGACCAAGCAUUAGCCUUCACUGAAACUCGUAUAUGAUUUCAUGAACAUUGAUUAAUUGUUAUUUUUGCUAACUACUCUAUGAGAUCUGAUCAAAUUAGAUAUAUAAAUGUUGCGAUUGAUCUUGGAUUUGCUUUAUAUUUGGCCAUCAAUUAUAUUUUACUCUUCAUUUUUAUAUUUGUUUGGUUUGAUAAUUUACCCUCUGGCCCAUAUAUAUGAUGGUAGGUUAAUAAUGAACCGAGUGUUGGAGAAGAUGCAUUUGUAUGGAUGGGAUCCUUAGUUCCUCUAGUUUCAGAUGUUAUUAAUGGGAGAUUUACAUAUGAAAUUCUGACAGCGCCAACAGGAAACCGGCUCCAUUCUCCAGCAUAUGAUAUAUUUCUAAAGGAGAUGGACAAGUAAUUCUUCCAAUUCUUCCAUGCAGCAAUUUUACCACUCAGAAACUUUAAGUGCCGUUUGGUUUUGUGACAUGCAAAUUAUCAUGGAACACUCAAAAUGAGUUGUUCUUAACAAUUUCUAGAAUUUGCAAACUCACUAACCAUAUCUGAAAAUGCAGAAGCAUUAUUACCACUUAUUGAUAACAAUAUCUCUGCUCGACUUGUUUGGGUGCUUUCAGCCGUUUUUCAUUUUCUUUUGGAAAUCUUGAUUUCAUAGAUGCAUAAAACAUUUGCAAAAACAAGCAACUCCAAAGGGUGUUGAGCUGGCUGACGAUGAAUUUAUACUGCAUGUGGAGGGAACUGCAAGCACACAGAGAGUAGUGCGCCAUAUUGGGAAAACAAGUUGGCCUGGUAUGUCUUUAGUUUGAUGUCUUACAUCUUUUUAACUGCUGUAGAAAUUGUUACUUGGAUUUUACUAAUCAUAAUUGUUGUCUCUAGGUAGGCUCACACUGACAAAUUAUGCGCUCUACUUCGAGGCUUCGGGAGUAAUAACAUAUGAAGAUGCUCUAAAGAUUGACCUCUCAAAAGAUGCUGAACUAUCUGUUAAACCAACUGCCACAGGUCCAUGGGGUGCUCCGCUUUUUGACAAGGCAAUUGUAGUCGAGUCCCCUGAACAGUAAGCAUAGUUGCACUUAUAUGAAAUUACUGGAGCUAUUAGCAUCGUUAUUCUUAUUUUAAAAAUUGUUAAAUGCUUGGUAGUUAUCCCAUAAGCUAGAUUUUAAAUGCAUAACAUACAAGGCAGACAUCAGAAAGCAUUCUGAUUCGUUUAUUAAAGUUUGUCUUUUAUUAAGCUAAAGAUAUUAAUGCUGCUAGAUUUUUCUAAUUUGGUUGUAGAUAUUGGUUAGUUACACUGUCAAAUGAGCAAAUCUCGUGGAUAUUUCAUAGUGUGGUUAUGCAAUUGUUUUUUGCCCUUCACUUUUCUAGAUCUGAGGGAAUUGUCCUGGAGUUUCCAGAGAUAACUAGCUCGACAAGGCGUGAUCAUUGGCUGGCCCUCACAAAGGAGAUAAUGUUAAUGCACAAAUUCCUGUCAAAAUUCAAGGUGGAAUGUCCAAUACAAGCAUGGGAGAUGAAUGCAAGGACAAUACUUUGCAUCAUAAGACUCCAUGCAGCAAGAGAAAUGCUGAGGAUAUUGCCUCCAGAUCCCACAAAAUUCUUGAUUUUUGCUUUGUAUGAUGAGUUGCCAAAGGGAGACUACGUGCUAGAAGAGCUUGCUGAGAGUCUGAAGAAAGUUAAUUGUGGACAUCCUUCCAGUGCUAGCUCAAUUCUGAGAUGUAUGAACCUGUCAAUUGCCGCAAGUGGAGAAGUAAAAGAAGGAAAAGAACUGGAGGAACAUAAACAUAUAAGUGAUGAAAGCUGUUCAUCACUGGAAACUGCCAUCAAUCAAUCUAAAGAGCAAGCAAAGGCAAUUGAAAUUGCUAAGUCUACCACUGAGGGCCUGAAAGAUGAAGGGAUCAGUGAUAGUAUCCUUGUUCUCUUGGUAUGUUUUUACUUCCAAAUUGUUGUUUAUGCUGCUGAUUUUAUAUUGACAGAAUAAGUAAUGACAUCUCAACAAAUCAUGGUAUUGAGAGCUUGUUUGACAUUUAUCAAACACAGCAAAGAAAUUGAAUUUUAUGAAAUUCCUAUAGCACCCUAUAAUUUGUACCAAAAAAUCUCUGCACCUUUGGCAUGCUGUAUGGUAUGGAAGUAUAGCUGUCUCAGAGAGGUUACUGUUAUUUACUUUAUUUGGUUUUGUAGUAUUGAUGUUAAGUUUGAUUUAAUAAUGUAGGAGCUACUAAAGCCACUUAAAAGUGUUUUACCCUGGAUUCGAGAAGUUGUUUCAUGGGAAAAACCAGCAACCACCCUCACUGUGAUUGCAACAACUCUACUAAUAGUGUACAAGUAAGUCAGUGCUCCCUCGUAAUUUUCUUAUAUACGGAAAUUUUUUUGAAAGUGCAUGUUGAUCAAGAACCACUUCAUUACUUGGCCUAUUAAUGUGUAAACUUUGCAAAUGACUAGUAAACUAUAUAAUGGCAAUGUAGGGAGUGGGUAGGCCAGGCUAUAGCUGCUUGUUUGCUCACCAUCGUGGUGAAGAUGCUUCAGGCAAGAAAAAAAAGGUUGACAGACAAAUGCAAUGAGAUAGUAGUAUGCACUGCUUCAGAUCAGAGCACCGUGGAGAGCAUUGUGUCGGCUCAAUACAGUUUGAUAACUAUUCAUGAGAUGUUGCAGGCAGCAAACAUUAUGAUUUUGAAGAUAUGGUCGAUAUUAAUUUCAAAGGCCCGCAAGGUACUCAUUUUGAUAACCUAUGCUUUCAGCUUAGCAAUUAAAUAUCGUUUUCAAUCAAUAUUGCUUAUUCGUCGUUAGCUGAAGUUCGUUUACCUACUACAUUUGUUGGAUGUCUUCAAUUAUUGAGGAGUCUUAGUUGCAUUUCCAAAUUGUUCUAAAUCCUCGUUUCAUUUAAUGGGUUGCAGCAUGCGGACACGGUUAUGGUGGCAUUGACUGGGUUAGCAAUAGUAUUAGCAGUUGUUCCAUUCAAGUAUAUUGUCAUGGGAGGUGUGCUGUACGGCUUCAUUAUGAACUCGAAGCCAAUGAAGUACCUGGGAAACAACUCAAACGACCAAAGCGGCAACAGACGUCUAAAAGAAUGGUGGGAGUCAAUCCCUAUUAUUCCUGUUCGCGUCGUGGACAAGCUUCCUGAGUGCCCAAAAUAAUGUGUCGGCUCCUGCACAAUCACAGUUGCCUAAAUCCUCUGUUUCUGAACUUUUGUUAUCAACUUACUGCACGAUAUACACUUCUGAGUUUGCUUUUGCCAUCAGAGUAGAACUGUAUCUGAAACACAGCAUACACUUAAAUGCUCAUUACAAAUUUGGAGAAAAGCACAAGUAGAAAAGGAUUGAAGACAUUCAGUAACGUUGAAAUUCUGCAUUUUCUUUAAUUUUUGUUAUGAACAAGUUUCUUAAUUAUUUGUUCUCUUGAUGUAAAAUAGCAUAUUGCUGGGAGUAAUGAAGAUGUGACUGUGCUUUUCCUAUUAGCAUGUUAAUAAAAGCAAAAUGGAAAAUUAUUAGUUACGUCCUCUCGUUUUGCGGCUUAUUGAGCUAACAAGUAACUUCUUCAUUACUAGCGUGCAAGUUUGCAACUAGUGAAUCUCAAAUAUAACUCUACCCAAUGGAUGGAUGUACGAUGGAUGUACCUACCCAAUCAUUUAUUUCUCAUUAAAUCUGUUAAAACAGAAAAAGUCCCGACGUCAUAUUCUUCGCGCCUUUUAAAAAACGACACGUGUCGUAUCCCACUACUCGCGUGCUGGAAACUUUAACCCACUCUGACUGCGUGACAGCAGAUCAUUCCCAAUUCAUUUCAGUUUCACUGUCACUUUCACUCCUCCUCAGGCGCCUUCCGACAAACAGGAAGAAUGCAAACUUGAAAACCCCCAAAAACCCUAACGUUCCCCCGGAGACCCUAACCCACCAUAAACCCUGGCUCUUAAUCCUAGCCACUAUGAGCGACCAAGACGAGCAAUCGCGAGCUCAGAAAGCCGCCCAGUUAACAAGUCCGCUCUCAUCCUCUCUCUCGAACCUUUCUUCUUCUUCAAGAAGCAUCCCCUCUAAUCAAGAUUUCCAUUUCUUCUACAAUUUCCCUGAAUUCAAUCAACCCGUCCAAGAAAUCGCGAACCAAUCGCAGCUCCUCCUACAAUCCAUCGGCUCAUCGGAGAUUUUUAACCAACCGAUCAAUUUUCCUGAUGAGGUUGACAUCUCGGACGCCUACGACUGGCUUGUCGACGUAAACGACAACGUUUUCGAGCGUAUGGAUGUUUCUUUCGACGAAUUUAGUAAAGUAAGAGGGGAAAAUGGGGAAGGAGAUGGAAAUGAAGGUGGCUUUCAGUUGGUUUAUGGGAAGAACAAGAAGAAGGGCGACAUUGUGGGUGGCUCUGCCCCGGCCAGUGUGAAAGUGAAGGACAGGAAAGAGAAAAGCAAGGUGCCGUUUCAUAUAUCGACUAUAACAAAACCGCAAGAGGAGUACAAGAUAGUUGUGAACAAUGCGAACCAGCCGUUUCAGCAUGUUUGGUUGCAGAAGAUUGAGGACAGUGGACGGUUUAUCCAUCCUCUUGUAAGUUUGUUAUUUUUUGAAUAUUUUGAUAUUGGAUUUGACUUACUGGGUUUGUUAAAUUUGUAAUCUGAAAAUAGUACCUUUCUUAGGGACUUUUUAGUGAUCAAUUAUUUCUUUCAUUUUCUUUUUGGGUGGUUUGUGGUAUAUGUUUACGCUUAUCUUGUUUGGAAUUUGUGUGCAAUUCUUAUUAUUCAUGCGAGAAUUUUAACACUAUCAUGUGGUUCAUGCUUGCCAAAAAUAUACCAAAACACUUUUGCUUAUUGCUAUUGCUUUAUUUGUACAGGACAAUCUUUCUGUUUUGGAUUUUGUUGAUAAAGAUAUAGGGGAUGUGGAACCUGUAAAACCUCCCUCGUUGGAGCAGACACCAUUCAAGCUUGUGGAAGAAGUUAAAGAUUUAAAGGAGCUAGCUGCUAAAUUGAAGAGCGUAGAUGAGUUUGCGGUAAAGUCUGACUUCUGUGAUUAUGUUUUAUUGAUAAAUAAUGCCGUGGUUCAGCCUUACUGCAGUAGUUUCUUUUUUUCAGCCUUUUGAUUUCUCUUUUCUGAUGGGGCAUUUCAUAUACAGAACUGAACACUGUCCUAUGUAGAGGAUAUAGUGUAGUUAAGGCACAUGUCACCGAUGUCAGCUACUUCAAAAUUAUAUAGUGCUGGAUGUGGUUUAAGCCAAUAAGACAAGAAAGGGGUGUGGCCGCCUAUGAAGAUACAUACAAAUAUGUUAAUAUUCGAAACAUAUACAAAGAAAUGUGCCUGUAAUAGUUUUCCUGUCUACGUAAAGUAGUAAACCAGCUGUCUAUUUAAUCUUGAUACAAGUUUUGCAUGUUUAAAAAAUUAUCUUUCAUCUUUAACAGUGAGUCCAUUUUUAGCUGUAAUCCUUUUCUCAAGCAUGACUUGGUUUUGCUUUCGUUUUCAUCUCAACAGUAAACCUGUUUGCAACUAGAAAACAUUGUAAUUUUUUUGUAACUUUUCUCUAGGUCGACUUGGAACAUAAUCAAUAUCGAUCUUUCCUAGGAUUGACUUGCCUGAUGCAAAUUUCCACCAGAACCGAAGAUUUUGUGGUAGAUACGUUAAAGCUUCGCGUUCAAGUUGGGCCAUAUCUUAGGGAAGUUUUUAAAGAUCCUACCAAGAAAAAGGUUGGUCCCUUCAACAUGCUCUCGCGUAGCUUUGUGAUAAAUCUUAUUUUUUCCCCCCCAAAUUAUGUUAACUUUUACUUUACUAGGUGAUGCAUGGAGCAGAUCGAGAUAUUGUGUGGCUUCAACGGGACUUUGGCAUAUAUUUGUGCAAUAUGUUUGACACAGGACAGGUUUUAUCCCUUGAAACUCUCUUUGAAAUUUGAGACUUUAUUGAUGAUCUUGUCUGGUUUUUUGUACAAUGGUUAAAUUUAUCUUAUCUUAUCUGCUUUUUUGUGGUCUAAUUUAUGAGUGUUGAUGCAAGCCUUUAUUCUACUAAAUUAGUUAAAUUGAGUUAUCUUUUGAUACUGUAUUUUCAAUUUUGUAAUUCAUCUUAUGUGUUUGAGUCAAGGUUUGGCUUCAAAAAGCCUUGUCAGUUACAUGUCAUCUCUCCCUUAAUUUUUUCAAAGUAGCUUCGCUUGUCAUUUGAACUAUUUGUAUCAUUAUUUUCAAUUUUGAUGUGGAACUUCCCCCAUUUAUUAAUGUUCUUUUGGUUGUUUUUGUGUAAUGCUCUUUUGUAAAUUUUACCGUGGCAUUUAUUUUGUUUUGCAUUUCAAAUAAUAGUGAGAAUUGCUUUUUUCAGUCCUAAGUUUAUUGGUUUAUUGUAAAUAUACUGUAUAUUUAUUUUGGUUUGCAUUGGGAGAUGAUCGUGGGAAUUUGUUUCUGUCUUUUCAUAAGGCCUCAAGAGUCUUGAAAUUGGAGAGAAAUAGUUUGGAGUAUCUUCUACAUCACUUUUGUGGAGUUAAUGCCAACAAAGAGUGAGUCCUUUUGUAAAGUACCUGAUCUGUUUCUCCUUAUAGUUUCCGCCCUUCAUCAUCCUAAGUCAACUCAUUGCAGAUACCAGAACGCAGAUUGGAGAGUACGUCCUCUUCCCGACGAGAUGCUGAGGUACCUUUGGUUCUCUUUUUAUCUUCUUUGUAACCUACUUUUCUAAUGAGUUCUCCAAAAAAAAAAAAAUUAUGAUCUGUUUGGCAUGAAAAUAAUUACUACUAUUUUAAAGUUCUUGUAUUCUUUGGAAAAGCAGAAAUCAUAUAUCAUCAUUUAAGUGUUUGGGGUUUCAUCUUUGCCUGUAUUUUUGUAGAAACUAAUAAUAUUUUUUUUUCUGUGGCUUAGGAUUUGAAUUGUGGGAAUAUCUAUGUUGGAAAUUAAUAAUGAGUGCACAUUGACUCUUGAUAGUGGACAAAUAUUUGGACAGCCAGGAAGGGGAAGGCCAACAAAAGUUUUGGGUUUUUAUAAGUUGAAGUUAUGAAUGGUUUUAUAAUUAAUUAGGUAUAGGUUUCCUCAUUUGGGUAUUUCUGGGAGAUCUGGGUUAUAAGAUUGAGAUAUUCCAGCCUGUAUAGAUAAUUGUAGGGUUGCCUGUGUUUGUGAUAUUCCAGCGCGUUUAUUAUUACUACUUCUUAUAUAUAUAAAAUUUUAGACUCUUUCCAUGUCUAACAAGAAGUUUUCAUGAUAUCACUUGGAUCCUACUCAUGCAGACUUGUAAGGCAUCCUUAGGUGCGGUUAUGUGAUCUGGUUUUUAUAAAUAUUUUUAAAUUUUUUGUCAGAGACAAUGCCUGUAGUGACAAUGUACUGACUUAUCUUUUGGUUAUUACCAAGCUGAAUCAGGUUGCCUGUGGUUUAUGACCAUACCAUUUGGUCUUAUAAAAUGUUCUUCCCUUCACCUCAUGUUCUCAUACUUUAAAGCAUGAAUAAUAUCUAAGGGCCUGAGAUUAUUUCAUUAAUUUUUCCCAAGUCUAGAUCCUUCCCAGAGAAAUGGAUGGAUUACCCACACACUCACCAGUAACAUGUCGUACUUUAUGACGGUUUUGCAUUACUGCUGUAUGUCAUUUAAUUUGCCCUUUUGAGGAUUCUUUAUUUUCUCUGGGCUGAUGUUACUUUGUGGUGCUUUUUUUUCCUAUUUAGUCAAAAUAUAUAUUCAUCAUAGAGUUUCUCUGUUAGAAUUUUCUUAGCUUUGAGGAUUCGUUAGUGGCAUAUCAUCCAAUUGAUUAUACUUGUGAUGACAGAUACGCUAGAGAAGAUACACACUAUCUGUUGUAUAUAUAUGAUAUAAUGAAAAUCAAGUUGUCCUCAAUGCCCAAGGAGUCUGAGAAUUCUGAUACUCCCCUGACAGAGGUAUGAUUUUUGCUUAACUGUUGGUGUUGUUUUGUAAAACUGUUGGGCAUCUCUAUGAUUAUAGAGAAUCCAUUUUUAAAUGCUUUUUUCAGAUCUUGUUGUGCCAUGUAUGACAGACCAUUGCGUCUGGAGAUUGGCAUGGAGCUUAAUAAUUACAAUGUUAAAAAUAGAACAUAAAAUAUUGGGAAGUAUCUAUCAUGACUAAUUCUUCAACUGUUUAAGGAAGAUAGUUUAAAUCCGAAUAUCCUUUUUUGGAUUGUGGACUAAAGAAAAUUGUCAACUCUUGAUUUCUCUUCCCAAGGAUGAAGACGUAUCAGUCUGUUGGCAAACACAUUUUUUGAAUUUUACUUUAGUUAUCUAUAAUUUUACCAUAUUGAGCAAACAUUUUGUUGCAAACAGGUCUACAAGCGCAGUUAUGACGUAUGCAGGCAGCUGUAUGAGAAGGAGCUUCUGUCAGAAAAUUCUUAUCUCCACAUUUAUGGGUUUGUCUUUGUCCCUAUUCAUCUCAGUUUAAGUUUUCAUUUAGUGGCCUCGCCUGUUUAAAAUCUUCUCUCAUACAGUUUUUGUUUGUUUCAUUCUUUACUUAGCAUUACUUCUCUUGUUUAAUUUUAGUUCUAUUUUGGACUUCGUAUUUAUGUGAUUUGACAGAACUUAAUCAGUGGAGCUUAUUUCUCUAUGUUGAAAUAGGUUGCAGGGGGCUGGUCUCAAUGCUCAGCAGCUUGCUGUUGUUGCGGUAUGUCAGUUCUUCAUGUGUUUUUCAAACUUUGCCACUUUUCUAUCUGGAUAUUAUAUGCAUGAGGAUGCUACUGAAAAUGUAUUAUCCGCAUGUUUUGUUUACUAGUUGCAUCUUCAAAUGAAACAAAGUCUUGACCCAGAAGAAUCCGUAACGCACCAAUAGUCACUAAUAGGAUUGUCUUGAGAAAUUUACUUCUAAAUUUUUGAGUGGAUGAUAGAAGGGUGGAUUUUAAGUAGCUGACACAUCAUUGCCAACUGCUGAUAGAGUCUGUUGCAUACUUGAGUAUUCUUGCUAGUUCUGGCCCCAUUGAUCCCACUUCAAUGAUUUGCAGGGUCUUUGUGAAUGGCGAGAUGUUAUUGCUCGUGCAGAUGAUGAAAGUACUGGCUAUGUAUUGCCAAACAGAACUCUGAUUGAAAUUGGUAGAAACCUGUCUGAAUUUCCUCCAACUCUCUCUUCUAUAUGUAUAUAAUCCAUUUGGUGAGUUAUGAGUUAAUCAUAUUUUCCUUUUGUGGUAAAAGCCAAACAGUUGCCUACUACUGCUGCCAAGUUACGUCGAUUGUUGAAAUCAAAGCACUCAUAUAUUGAACGCUAUAUGGGUCCGGUACUUAGCAUCAUAAAAAAUUCUAUGCAAAAUGCUGCUAAUUUUGAAGUCAUUGCUCAAAAAUUGAAAGAGGAACGUAUGGAAGUGGUAAGACCUGCAUGCUCAUGUUUGAUUGUUUUGUUAUAUCAGUGAUCCAAAUUGAUUAUUUUUCUUUGAGAAUUUGAUGUUAAUGCCUUCAAUGGAUUGCCAACAUACAUUGAUUUUCUUUUUCUUUUCCUUGGAUUUCGUUAGAAUCAGACCAACCAUCUUUUAAACGAGGAUGAUGGUCCAAAACCUUAAGGUCUACUACGAUGAAUUGCUACUUUUUGUGCAAGUUCUUGUAAUUCACUCAGCUGGUUGUCUUCGGCAAAUGAAAGGAAAAAGGAAAUUCAUCCAAUCCAGUUCUAUUGAAGAAAAAGAAUCCUAGUUGAUCUUACAAAAUUAAGCUUUCAUAAUUUGUUAACCCAUGGAAUGUGAUUAAAACUCAUGGACAAAGGAUGUUCCAGUUGAGAAAGGGAUUUGAGUGAUUUUUAGCAAUUAUCAGUGAUGUCUUCAUUAGAAGUAAGUUUAUGGUUUAUAGCAGUAAAUGCUCAAUAAUUAGGUACUCCUUGUAUAUUGGCUGACCGGGUCCCAUGUUUGUAGUAGGUUUUGUGAGCUACAGAGGAUUAACUUCAGUCAGUUUUCCAUGUUAUGGCUGUUAAGAGCUAUGUCACCAUUUUUCUUUGUUUACAUCAAACUAAUCUUUUUUUUUCCCCCCAUUUUUCCUUAUUUGUGUAGGCAUCAGAAGAAACUGAAGUUUUAGUUCUUGAUACUUCCUCAAACUUGAAAAUUCCGAAUGUUGGAAGGGAGAGUGUUGAUGGUGUUGAUGCAUUAGUUGGUACCACGAUGCCUCACCCACCAGCUUACACCCAGCUGAAACAAGAGCCUCCAAAGGUUGGAAGCAGUGUCGCAGAACUUGACAGAAAUGGACUAGGGUCUUUUGCGCAUCCUGGAGAAGCAAUUGCUUCAGAAAAUAAAGAAGCUACUCAUAUUUCAACACUUUCCAGCUCUGGUCAAAGUAGAGACUUGAAUGCUUGCAAGUCACCUUCACCAAGGGUUGUGAAUUUGAUGCCUUAAUGUGGAUUUUUUUUUUUUUUGGUUAAGAGGUUUAGCAUUCAAUUUCUUUUUCUUUGGUUGUGAAUUUGAUGCCUUAAUGUGGAUUGGAUUUUUUUUUUUUUUGGUUAAGAGGUUUAGCAUUCAAUUUCUUUUUCUUUAUAGGUUACUGAAGCUGCUGUUCAGGCUCUAAAGAAGCCGAACCGUGGUUUUGGAGCACUGCUGGGUAACCCAAAGAGAAAGUUUGAUGGCGAGAAAAAGGUGAGUUAAUCAUUUGCUAGUAAUGGUUGUUAAACAUCUGCUAUGUCAUUGUCACAUAGCAAAAUAACUAUUUCUGAGGCCUGCCAGUCACCCAGUUUGUGCAUGUGUGGUUGGGAAGAAGGCAACAAAGGAAGAAUAUAGUUAAACAUUUGCUAUGUUAUUCUUACAUAGCAAAAUAACUACUACUGAGGCCUGCCAGUCAGCCAGUCUCUGCAUGUUGGUUGCAAAGAAGGCAACAAAAGAAGAAUGUUUUUUUUUUUUGAAUCUUCAUUCCAUGAUUCACUUUCUUUUCAAUUUUUCUUGUCAACUAGCAUGUACAUUUGCCUUCUUGUUGCCUUUUUCGUUGCGUGAGUCAUUAUGAAUUAUGAUUUAUAUUAUACGGAAAUUGUGAGUGGGCAACUGUUGGGCUAUAAUCAAACAUGCAAAAUUUCGGGUCCCAUGACUAAGCGCUGCUAUCAUCUGGAUUUGUGUGUUGUUGCAUUUUAUAUUUGGUUAACACCCUUCUUAUUAUCCUCCUUUUGAUUGUUUGUUUGUCUUAAUUAGGACAAGGAAGCUAUGAAACUAGAGCAGAUUAAAUCCUCAGUCAAUCUUCCAUUCCACUCAAUUUUUGCAAGAGAUGAACAGUUAAAACCAGUUGAUGUGAUGAAGUCUGAACCAAAUAAGCCUGACAUUCCAUUUCCUUCAUCUUUUGGUAGUGGGCAACAAACGAAACCAAUCAUAGAGGAAUCCAAUAGAGUUACAGUAGUUUCCCAAUCAGAAGAACCCGCUCCGGCUGCUAGGUCUGAUACAGAAGAUAUUAUUACGUUGGAAGAUGAUAUAGAUGAAGAGGAACAAAACCUUGGUAAUUUGGAAACUGCAAGUGCGCCCGGAGAGGACGGUUCUGCAGGGUCUGCUUUGGAAAUGGGUAAACAAGAUGAGACCAUGUCUCUCUCUGAUUUAUCAACUAGUUUCCAGGAGUGCUUCCACUCUGCUAACAACAAUAGAAAACCUGGAAAGCCUGAGAGAUCUGAAGAACCUAGUGGUUUUUUGCAGCUUAAGCCGUUUGACUUCGAAGCAGCUAGGAAACAGAUCGAGUUUGGAGAAGAUGCCAAAGAAAAAUCAGCUGGGGUUGAUGGAAACAAAAGAAAACCAGUGAACUCUGGAGAUAAGAAAAAAGUUUCAGCUGUAGAUCAAGCUCAAAAAGAUGAUGGAACAAAAGAACUGUCACAAGGUAGACGACGUUCUGCUUUUCCUGCAACUGGAAAUCGAAGUGCAACAUUUCGCUGAGUCUCUGGUAUCAAUCAUGCUGCUCUGUGUAGCAGAAAUUAGUUGAAUUUUGGAUUUUCACAAUCAUGUUCUUGAUUUAAAUGGAAAUUAAUGCUGGUGGACAAAUUCGCAAUGGUUGUACGUAUAUUUCCAUUGCUUGAGGUCUUGUCUGAUACAGCAUGAGCUAACCUGAUCAUCUUUUGAUAUUCAGUAACAGGAGAGAUGUAUGGUCUGCAGGAGCCAAUGAUGGGCAAGUGAUACCUGAGGCCGGUGUCUAUUUGAAGGUAAAAUGGGCGAUGGUUCUAGGUUUCAUAUUAGGUUUUUGAUAGUCUUGAGUAAUUGCCCUACUAUCUUCAUAUUUAAAAAACAGGAUGGUUUCAAACCAAAGUGCGGUUUGUAAUCAAAAGCAUUUGAUCUUUUUGUUUUUGUAACUUUACGGGUUUUAUUUUUAGAAAAAUGGUUCUGUACUAUGGUUUAUUUCUGCCUUAUUUGAUAUUGUGGUCAUCUUAGGCUUUAUUUAGUGUAAUUUUUCAGUUAUAUGUUCGUUUGGGAAGAGGAAAUGAAGUUAAUUUUAUUUCACACUUGCAUAAGAAAAAAUUGUAAUGUUUAUAUUAUUUUUGUUAAAAUUAUUAUUUAAAAAUUAUAUUUGAUAUCUAUUAAUAAUUUUUAUUAUAAUUAUAAUUUUCUUUUUCCUCCAUCAUCUCAAUUGCUUAUAACUGCUGUUGAGGAUGGUUGGUGCGAUGUUAAUAAUUUGUAAAGGGCUUAGUAACAUCUGGUUCCGUGAUGUCGGCCAAACCAUAUCGAAGGGCUUAAUUUGACGGUCAUCGGGGCCUCCUGCCCAGCUGCCCUCCUUUACGGAUUCCGCUUCCGCAAAUUAUUUUAUAUAAACUGUUGUUACAUGAUAGUGGUGGCCGGAUGAAAAUACUACAUGACCAUAUAAUGCUUUCGGUGCAAUGAGUGAAAAAGAGAAAUUUUUAUGUAUUCUCGGAUUGAAGGAGAAAUUUUAAGAUUAAGAUUGUGGAGUGGUAGCAGGAGUAAAUUAUUUACUUACAUCACUAUGAGAGUGUGGAACGAAAAUUAGAAAUUAUGUAUUUUCUUUGUCUUAGAUUGAGAGUGAAUCAUUUUAAAUUAUAAUUUUAUCCUUAUUUAAAGAAUUGUAGUUUUUAAUUAUAAAGUAAAUAAAAAAAUAUAUUUGCACAAUAAAUUAUUUAUUUUGUUAUUAAUUUUAAUUAUAUAAAUUAAUAAUAAUUAUUAUUAUUCUUAAUCAUGUGAAUCAUGAUUUUUUUGUUAAUUUUNNNNNCGUACAGCAGAAAUAAAUAUGAUAUUUUUAUUUUUAAAUAAAUGUGAUAUUAUUUUUAUUUUUAUCAAUAUAAUUAUAUUAUAUUCAAUAAGGAAAUGAUAAAAAGAAAGAAGUGGGAGUAGAUUUCUACUUUUUAUUCAAAAACAAAAAUGAGACCCACAGAGUAGAAGCCUAACUCUCCUCCUUAGAUGAGUACUAAAACGUUUAAGUAGGAGAAAUUCAUAUUUUUGACUCCCACUCUACAAAGUAAACAUAAUAAUAAUAUCAUAAUAACAUUUGAUAAUUCUAUAUAUUUGUGACGUCAUAUCUCAUCAAUUGAUUAAUAAAAUUAAAUGGUGAUUAUUUAUGAAAGAACAAAAUUAAUUCAUGUGAGUUAUGGUUAAUAAAUAAAUAAAAUAUAAAAUGUUAAAUUUUGACUAUAAACUAAUUUCAAUAUCUAAUAAUUUAAAAGCUCAAUAGAGCUAUGAUAAAAACUAAAGGGAGGAUUCUUAAUCCGAUCCGGGAUCUUAAUCAGUUCAGGACCGAUCCACUUCCAGCUAUUACGCGUCAAACAUCCAUUUGACGAUUGACGUGUCACGCCAUCUCACUGUCCUCACAAGAAAACCCGUUACCUUCAAAAUGCUCCAAACCCAUCAACGCCGAAUUCAAAUCAAGCCCCAAGACCAAAUACAAAGCAAAAACAAAUAAACAAACGUCUGUUCAUUCAGUCUGAAAAAAUCAAAAGAAGUAAAAGGAUUGGCGAUGGCGAUGGCGGUUGAAGGAGGAGGGACAUUAUCGGAGAUAUAUCAAAGUGCGAAGAAGUUGCUGUUGAGAGCGAGAGACGGAGUUGAGAAACUGGAGAGACUGGAGAGCUCGACGUCGACUGGGGGAUACGAUUCGCCGGAGCUCUCCUUCGCUGUCAAGAAAGAUAUUUCUCAGAUCCAGUCACUCUGCGUCGAGAUGGAUCGCCUAUGGCGCUCCAUCGCCGACAAGUCUCAGCGCGAUCUCUGGAAGAGGUACCUAUUCAUUUACUGUUUUGCCACGUGGCACCGAAUCAACCUUGUGUCGUGUCCUAAUUGCUCUACGCCAGUUCGGUUGCAAUUCUGUGCAUGAACCGCAAUUUUUAUACUGAAUAUUACAUUAUUGAUUUUGUCUGAGCGACAAGGCAUGCUUCCACGUUUACUUGUUGCUUAGUUUUAUUGUUUUGCCUUCUAUGUUAACAGUCUAUAUAAGUUUUAUAUGUGUUACAGGCAUGUGUAUAUAUGGAAGUACAUUAAUAGCUGUUCAUGCUGUUGCUUGCUUGAGGUCGUUGGUAUAUUUGCAUUUGGAACUAAAUGUGCUUGGUGUGGGUUCGCUAUGUGUGUGUGUGUGUGUGUGUUUGUUUGCGUUUGAUGUUAAAUGGAAUUACCUUCUAUCGAGUCAGUGCCGCAAUUUGAUUGCUUGGUUUUUCAGAGGUGUGUUUUUAUGUUAUGUCAUGCAGAAAAGUUGAACAAGUAGCAGAAGAGGCUGAAUCAUUGAAAGAGAGUCUCGAUAAGUACUUUUUAAGAAAUCAGAGACGGAUAAAUGAAGCUAGAGAGAGGGCGGAAUUGCUUGGAAGAGCUGUAUGUUUAUUCAGUUUUCGUUAGAAGUUUUGAACGGAUUCUGUAGUGUUUUUCUUGUCUGGAAACGAGAAUUAGCUUUCCAAUCUGAUGAAUUUCUUUUAUGUUAUAGAAUGGAGAGUCGUCUCAUAUUUUGAGAAUUUUUGACGAGGAGGCGCAAGCAAUGCAGUCAGUACGCAAUUCAUCGAGGAUGUUGCAAGAAUCGUUUGCAACUGGGACAGCCAUUCUUGCCAAAUAUGCAGAACAAAGGGAGCAUCUAAAGGUAUUGACACUUAAGCUCCUUGUUUACAUGCACAGUUGCACACUAGAAAUUUUUGCCAAGCUCACUCAAACUGUGUGCAAACAAAGUUCACUAAACAGGGUCAAAUGAGAAAUUUACAUUCUUGUCAUGGUUGUAUUCUUAACAUGAUUAAAUAUUUAAAUGAGAACAAUGUUAGAUCCUCAAAGCAAUUAUCUUUAAUAUUGAUUUAUACUACUGCUAUAGAAAUUAUAAGUGUUUGCAGCACCUGCACAAAUGGCUGCAGAGAAUUUAGUCUGUCUAUGGUAAUAAUUUUAAAAGCUGGUAACUCCAAAUAUUCAACAGUGGCUGACAAAAACAAUCCUCAAGUUUUAAAGUAAAAGCAAACUUUGCUUUGAAAUAAUCAGUGACAACAAUGACGUGAAAGUGUCACCAACUGUUUAUAUAUAAUAUCUCCAAUAUUCCAGAAUUUAGUUUCAUAAUGGCUGGCAAAGACUUGGUUUUUUUAAGGUUUAAAGUAAAAACGAUCUCUGCUUUGAAAUGUUCAGUGGCAACAGUGAUGUAAAAUGAUCAGCAACUGUUCAUAUCUAGUAUCUCCAAUGUUUAGAAUUUUGUUUAAAAGAUCCGUUCCAUCCAUAAAAAAAUUUCAUUCUGAAUAAGCAACUCAAGAUUACACUUCGCAAGAACACACCAUCUACCAUUUCUCACAAAUUUAAAUGUCACAACCUAUGAUCCAUUACCAAUUGUGAGAAACGGCAGAUUAUUUGUUCUAAUGAAGUGUAAUUUGAGUUGCUUAUUUAAAAUGAAAUUCUUUUAUGGGUAGAAGGGAACUUCUAAACGAAGUUCUAGGAAUCAAAUUAGCUGUUUAGAUUUGAAUAGUUGGUGAUGCUUUGAUGUCACUGUUGCCACUGAUUCUUCUCGAAAAGAAACAGAUUUUUAAAUGGUAUUAUAGAGGUCACAGAAAAAAAAUAGUCAUGCUAUCAUUGAUAGCACUUGCCACUGAUGUUGAUAAUGAGUUUAACUGAUUAACUUCCAUCUUUGGUUCAGAAAGCACAAAGGAAAGCUCUGGAUGUUCUCAACACUGUGGGUCUGUCCAAUUCAGUAUUGAGGCUCAUUGAGAGGAGGAACCGUGUCGAUACAUGGAUCAAAUACGUAGGAAUGGUUUCUACAGUGGUCAUCUUAUAUUUCUUCUGGAGGUGGACUAGGUGAUCCGAUCUUCAUACUUAGCCACGCAUAGAUCAUUAAUCCGCAUACUUUGGAAUGAUUAAGUUUUGUUCUUGAUAUUUGCCCCAUAAGAGGGUUAAUGAGGAUGUACAAGGCAUUCUUUGAUGAGAGACUAUCCUCUUAUGAGGAUGUAUAAAGCAUUCUUUGUUAAGAGACUAACUCGUAUAGGACGGACUCCCAAAGAAGGUUCUUUGCAAUUCUUGAACAUUUAGAGCGAAGUUGACGAAACGUGCUAGUUGUUUUUGUAUUUUGGCAAAAGGGGAAUUACAGAGUUCGAAGAUUCUAAGAAAUGCGCCAAUUUUGUUUUGUUGUCAGAACGCAAAAACGGCCUGAUUGUGGACGGUUAAAUCCGGAAUUAUGUAGUGGAUUUGCAGUUAUUGAAGGGCAUGCUUGGGAAAAUAAUAUGGUCAAAUAAAAUCAAGAACAAUUAUAUUGUAUCUGCUGUUUAUGCGUCCGUACUUGAAGGUGUCCACGUGGCUGGUGUGUGUUUGUUAAACCAGUAAAAUUAAGUAGUGCGAAGUUCUGAUCGCCGCUCAUUGAUUGUUUUUUUUUUUAACUUUAAAUAAACUAUGAGAAAAGGCUUUGAAUGAGUCGCAGAUAAAUUAAAGUUUUUUUUUUCUUCUUCUAAAUUUAUAUCCAAUGGUUCGGCACAUGUUAUUUUCUUUAUUUUUAGUGCACACGGUAAACUAUUGAUAGUAUUUGGUGUAAACUCACUUUCAAAUCGAUGCUUCACGAAAAGUCCAAAUGACGCGCUAUGAAAGUAAUAUAGAUAACUAGGAUAAGUGGAAAUGAUAAACGAAUAAAAUGAAGUAAAAAGAAUUUUUCAUUUUUAAGGGUUACAAAAUAAGAAUAGUUAAUUACUUAAUUAGUUGACUUGCUAAAAAUUUUUCAUGCAAACAAAUGGUCUGGACUGGAAUCCGUUUAAAUGGAUAGGAAGAAAAUUAGAGUGUCGUAAAAGUACUGGAGUUUCAAAUCCCCUCACGUAGUCACAAGGAUUAGAAGAAAAUUGAAUUGUUAGGCAAAAUGAAAAAAAAGAAAAAAGCUUAACAUUUUUAUUUUCUAAAAAAAUGUUUUUCUUAGUUGUUUUGUUUUUUAAUUUUAAAUAUAUUUAAAAUUUUGAAAUUAAUAAAUGACUUUGAAAACUUGAGUGUGCUCGAGCCUCGAGAUCUACUCAAAUUCUUUUACAUUAUUACAUUAUGAAAAAUUGUAUGAUGUCGUGAUUAAACUAUUGUAUCAAUACUAUGAUAAACAUAAAUUUUAGAAAUUAUAUAUAAGACUAGUAAGUGAAAUGUAAAAUAAAUUAAUUAAUAUAAGAGUGGUAAAUAAUGUUUUAAAAUUAUAAACAAAACAAACACUUAUAAAAAUAACAUAAAAAUUAUAAAUCAACAUUAAAUUUUAAUGUAAAAAUAGUUUAUUUAUUUAAUUUAUUCAAGCAAAGAAAAACUUUACUCAUCAAUUGAAAACAAAAAUUUUGUAUUGAAAACAAUGGGAAUAAGUUUUAUUAAUUGAUUUAACCAUGAAUUUUAUAUUCAUGUCAGGAUAUUUAUAAACUGUUUUUUUUUUUCAUUUUCUAUCAUAGUAUUUGUUUACUAUACAAGUUGAUUAAGUAAACUUAUUAUUAUUAUUAGUAUUAUUAUUAUUAUUUAUGUGGAUCAAGCCAAAACAAAAUAAAAAUACAUUUGAAUAUUACUAGACAUAUAUGGAAUAUUAAUACAAUUGAAUCUAACUUUCAGUUUUAUACAUAAUUCAUCUAGUUUCAAAUUUUACUUCUUAUACUAAAAGAUCAUUUGAGGUUGCUAUCGAGGAGGUUUAAAAUGAUGCAAAAUCACUUAUAUCACAAAUAAAAUAUGAAAAAAAAUUUCUAAAAUUUGAUUUUGAGAGUAAGUUUUAUCCUUAAUAAAAUUCCACAUAUAUUAUCACGUCUAUUACAUAACCACAGAAUUAUCAUUAUUUGAUUUAGAAAUAAAAAUAGUAAAUAUAUAAUGUAAUCAUUAUUAUAGUGAGUUUUUAUUUAUUUUUUCAAUAACUCUUAUAAUAUUUACUUAUUUUACAUUCAUUUACAACUCUUCUAUUUUACUUUUAUAAUUUAUAUGUUAUUUUACACUUAAUGUUGAUGUACAAGUUUUAUAUCACAUUUGUAAACAAGUUUUACUUUAUAUUUACAUGUAUUAUGUUUUAUUUACUUAAUUCAUGUUUUAUUUUAUACUUAAUGUUGAUUUACAAGUUUUAUAUUAUAUUGAUAUAAGUUUUUAUUUUAUUUACUAAUGAUAUAUCAACUUACCACUGUUAAUUUACUUAUUUUACCUUCAAUUUGCAAGUCUUGUGUUUCAUUUACAUAAUUUAUUAUGUUUUAUUUUACGUUUAAUGUUGAUUUACAAGUUUUAUGUUAAAUUUACACCUCUUAUAUUUUAUUUACACAAUUUAUGUUCAAUUAUAGUAUAUUAUAGAAUGACUCAUUUGACAUUACAAUACAAAAUUAUAAACAUAAAUAGAUGUAUCAAAAAGUCUUGUCGAAAAAUGAAUCCACCUUAAUACGGACCUGUCUCAUUGUUUUAUAAUUAAAGUUGCACACUCUUACAAUGAACUUGAAGAAAUUGAAUUCUCAACAUCAAUAAUGAGGUGUCUAUUACUAAUAAUAGUUUAUAAAAAAAAUAAAAAAAAUAAAGAAAUAUGAUUAAAUUGAUCAAUGUAAUUUUAUUAAAAAAAAGAAGCAUUUUUAUUACAAAAGCAAUCUCAAAAUAUAUAUUUUUUGUAGUUACAAAAAAUCAUGACCUAGUGGCGACCUAGUGGCGACCUGGUGGGCGUAUAUACAAAAAUCAUAAUAUUUUUAUACUGAUUACAUAAAUUCGGUGAUCACAGACCACAGUAAAACCCUGAAACCGCCCAACGGGGUUCUUUACCAGAGGAAAAAAGGGAGGAAAGAAAAUGACUUUUUAAUAUAACGGCACGGGUUUAAGCCAAAAACGGUGGAAUCAAAUCAUUGACACGUUCGUGCGAUGCCUUCACUCCUCAGGCAAACCAGACUCCCGCAUGUGAAUGCCACGUGAACGUAGCUUCUUCACAUAAUUUUUACCCCAAUGUCCAAAUUACCCCUUAUCUUUUACUCCUUUUUUUUUCUUUUUAACUUUGCCCGAUUUUGAAGUCUAUUACGUAUUGCGGACUGCUGCCCUCGCUUGACGUGUUUUUUCUCCUUUUUUUUUUUUUUCCCUCUCCAAACUAUUCUUUUCAAUUUUAACUAAAUAAUUUUUUUUUUUAUUACGAACAUCAACUUAAAAUUUAGGUUAGUUAGACACUUCCCCACUUCAUCCUUAAAGUCAAGUAUUCAUAUCUAUCUGUCUAUGGUGAAUAAUUUUUUUUAUUUUUUAAACUACGAACAAGUUAUCUUUUUUUUUUUUCUUUUCCAAUAUCACUAUUUAUCCACUUUUAGUUUAAUUCUUUCUGCCUAAGAUGAUCAAUUUAAAUUAAAAAUGGGAUUUUGAAAUUAUUUACUAAAAAUCAUGAUUGUUCUUUUGACGUAUUUGAAUAAAGUUUAUUUGGAAAAAUUAAUGUAAAAAAAAAAAAUGUUGGAAGAUUACGACAAUGGAAAUGUAGUCUCUGGUGAAAUGCUCUGAUUCAAUCAAUCAUCAGCAAAUGCGGUUCGCACGUUGGCAAUGGAACUCGUGAUAGCACAACCGUGAAAUGUCCUUCAUUUGGGAGUCCACGUUAAUCACAUGUGGGUCCAUCUUGAGUGCUUUUGUGCUUUACAAUUAAAAUAGACAGACAGGCUGAUGACCUGACAAUUUCGAGCCUGAUAAAGCCCCUUCAUCAACUUGAUCAGAAGGACAGGACAGCUAUUAAUAGAAAAAAGCAGCAGACUAGUACUAAUCGAGAAGUCAAACAGAUAAAAACUAAAACUAAAUAAUCUAAUCUCCUCCUAAUUCACUAAAUUAUUUUAUUUCUAUUGGUAUAAUUAAUUAAUUGAUUGAUUAAUCAAACAUGCCUUCACAAUUAAAUAGUUUCAACAGUGUAAGUUGAACCACGUGUCAAGCAAAAGCAACCAUCAUUUAUUAUAAUUUUUUUUUAUUUUUUUCGAAAAAGGAAAAAUCAAAAAACAAGGCAAGUUGAUGCCAACAGGAUCUGAUCCGGAAGGGUAACCGAGUCAUUUCGCCGUCAUGCAUGCCUCAAUCCGGAUUGCCUGCCCGCCCCCACGUUGGAAAACCAGGGACGCAUCGAUAAGCAGUUUCAACACCCAAAACACAAACUUGGGGGCGGGAAUUGCAAAACGAAAUAACAGCUUUUGCUUUUGCUUUAAUUUUUUUCCGUUUGUUUUCUUAAAAAGAAAGAAAAAAAAAAAUACUCCCAGUUCCACAAUAGAGCCCCUGGUUUUGCCUAUUUCUUUAAUCCUUUUACGCAGACUCAUGAUAAAUAUCUCCAUCUAUCAGUCAGUCCAUACGGUUUCCUUUCAUCACCAACCCCACCAACGAAAACAAAAAAAACAAAACAAACCCCCUCUUCAGAAAUAUAAUUAUAAUUUUCUUUUUCUAUUGAAUUAAGCUUGUUGGGUAUAAUUUGCUAAUUAAUCAAAGAUCGAUCUAUGACGACGGAAGCGGUCAGCAAGGUUGGAUAUGCGCAUAGUAAGGUUGCUAUGAAGAAGAAGAGCGGUUAUCGAGGUCGAUGCAGGAGAAGAAAUCACGACAGAUAUGCACCCGAUAAUAAAACGGUGCCGAUGGCGCUGCAGCGUCUGUUUCUUUCUUGCAAAGACGUCUUCAGAGGCCCUGGAACCGUUCCCGCUCCUUCUCAUGUCCAAAUGUUGUGCUCUAUUCUUGGUAAGUGUUUUUUUUCUUACACUUCAUCAUUUCUGGUCCAAUUUUCUUGUUUUUCAUUUGGCCGCUGCACUCGCAUGACGUGUAUGUUGUGAAAUCUGAACCCAUCAUCAUCCUUCAUCCAUGCACAUAUAUAUUAUCAGUCAUGAGAAAUUUUGAAUCAGCCAUUAAAAAAAGAAAAAAAAAAAGAAAAGGAAAGAUUCAAUAUUAUCAAAUCAAUACCAUUUUGUUUCAUGAGAUGAUCUAUGAAAGAUGGGAAAGGAGCACUGCUCCUUAUUUCAUUUCCUGUCACGUCUGUGUUUCAAUCAAUUGUAAUAAUACAUAUAGCCACGUAAAAAGCAAGGGGCAAUACUCUUUACAGCACGAAAACCUUCUCAAAAAAGGGGCUUUACUUUAUUGGCAGUAAUGAAUUGUUUUGAGCAAUUCAAUUCAUCAGUGCACUUAUCAUGUUUACGUAGUUUGUCAAUUUGGUUCCAGUUUUUGGUUCUUUUUAUUGGAUUCAGUGCCGAAAUGUCAUGUGUGUUCAUAGGACGUACUGGGAAAAGGAUUAGAAAUCUGUACUGAAUUUUUUUAAAUUUUGGGGGGGGGUUUUUUUUUGGGGUGGAUGGGGUUAUGGAUCUAAGUGGAUGGUACCAAUUUUCAAAAAUGUAGUUUAAUUAACUUUCCAGUUGAAAUUACAAAACCAAACCAUCCGAAAUGGAUUCUUCGAGAAAAGGUGGGUUCAGAAAACAAAGUGGUUGCUUCUAGGUGAAUCCAGAUUUUUUUCACGCGGACACAUGGUACCUUUUGGUUGAUUACCCAGCCACAGUGUUGCUUGAGGGGACAAAAAUAUCAUAUUUGUUUUUUUUUUUUUUUCCAAAUUCCUUUUUAAUUCGUAACUCAAUCUCAUGGGAUCCUACUCAGCAGCCAUUGUGAUUAUUUUUUUUACCUGACGACGCAAAAAUCUUUGCAUUAGAAAGGAUACAUAAGCACAUUUGCCUACUGUUGCUACGUGUACAUGUGCAAUGGUUUGGUUGCAAAACUGGAAGCAUUGGCACAUUAUAUAUAUGUGUGUUUUUUUUUUUUUAAUAUGUAUAAAUGCAUGGAUCAUGACACUUGGCUAAGUUAAAAUUUCCAUUUUCUCGUUAUCAUAAAGAUUGCCAGUGACUCAAACAAGCUUUUCUUUUUAAAUUUAUGAUGCUACAGAUGAAAUGAAGCCAGAGGAUGUUGGGCUUAGCAGUAAGUUACAGUUACUUAGUGCCAAAGAUGCAAUGAAAGGGACGCCAAUUGUCACAUCCACUACAAUAUACAAAUGCCAGAACUUUUCGGUAAAGACAUAAGCUAUUCAUAUUGGGCUAAAUUAAAUUCUUUUAUUAUCGUAUACUAAUUUGUAAACCAUACUAAUUAAUAGUGCAAAUUUGAUUUAGAACUUGAUAGAUUACCUUUUGGAUUCUCUUUUGUGCAGUUGUGUCUUUUCUUUCUUCCUCCAACUGCUGUGAUCCCCUUGCACAACCAUCCGGGAAUGACUGUUUUUAGCAAGCUUUUGCUCGGGACAAUGCACAUAAAAUCGUACGAUUGGGUCGAUCCUGUUGACGCAAACGAUUCUGCAGCCCCCACAAAACGUGAGUACCGCUUACCUUAUACAUAUAUGUCCAUGUAUAAUGCACACACGAACACACACACACACACACUCACAUAUCAAAACAACACGAUAACUUGAAUGUGCUAGCUCGGACUAGGAUGAUCAUUUGUGACUGAAAGUGAUGAUUUAAUUAAUUUGCAGCGCGAUUGGCGAAGUUGAUAGCCGACAGUGAUUUCACAGCACCUUGCAACACUUCUGUGCUAUAUCCAACAACAGGAGGCAAUAUCCAUGAAUUCACAGCCAUUACGACAUGUGCCGUGCUCGAUGUGCUUGGACCUCCCUACUCUAAGGACGAUGGUCGGGACUGCUCAUAUUACAAGGAGUUGCCACUUCCCGCGGUUCCAAGUAAGCGAAACAAAACCACUUGUUACUGAUUAAAAACAACCUCGUUUAAACCUCCUCGAGUAGCGCUUUCAGAGGUCUUACCAAUUAAACCCACCGAUUUUGUUAAUGCAGAUGGAGAGAAUCAGGAGGCAAAAGAGGAUGAUGGUGGUGAGAGUUGUAGGUGGUUGGAAGAGAUUGGGGUGCCAGAGAACUCACACAUGGAUGAAAUUGAGUACUUGGGACCGCAGAUAAUUGAGUAGUAGCUGUAACUAGCUUCAGCCCACAGUCGCGUGAUAAAAAAAAAUUUCAACGCAUUAUCUUCUUUUGUUUCAUAGCUAGUCAAUGGUUUUGUAUUUAUAUAUACACAUAUAUUACGUUGUUUCCUGACCUGAGUUUUCACUAUGUUAAUAGCAAAAUUUCAUUUCUUUUUCUUUUUUCUCUUUAAUCCCGGUAUCUUCUUUAAUAACUUGAUUACUUGAGUACACUGUACCAUUGAAAUCAUGGUUCAUGCCAUAGUUCCCUUAGAGGAAGGUCCAAACCCGGCUUAGGAGAAAUGGAGGUUUGGGCUGUCGAGGGCCUUGGUGUUGCUAUGUUCCCAAGAGAUGUUUACUUGGGCUGUCGAGCGCGCCGAGAAGUGCUUAAUAUUACAUCAAUGGGCCGGGCUUGUAACCGACUACUACACAUUCCCAUGGCGGCAAUCCUGAUCAGUAAUUAACUUGGGAUUUUGCAUUCAAUGAUUGCCACAAUAAUAUCAGCAAACUUUUCAGAAGAACCUUAAUUGAUAAUUGUCAUUUUGCAAUCAUAGGUUAGUUGAUGGAUAUACCAUGGGCCCUGAAAAUUAAUUAAAAUAUCAAACAUUGUAUGCUCCUAGGUUGGAAAUUUUUCAAAAUUUUCAAUAGAAAAAUAACCUCAAAAUCAAUAUUUUACAUGUGAAGAUCUGUUUCAUUAACAAGCGCGAUGGGCCAAACGGAGGGAGCCAGGAAUUUUAAGCUGUUCAUAUUUGACGCCCUAAUUUGGGAUUUGCUAAUACGGAAAAACUUUGAGCUGCUCACUAAUUUAUAUCUUGACUUCGAGAAUCUGCGCAAUUACUAAUUAGUAGCCAUCAAUAAUUGUCAAAAAUCAAUUUUGAAUUUCGAUAUUUUUGAAUGCAUUGGUGUUACGUGUUUCUCCAUACGCGUUAGUAAAUUUGAGAUGGUGUAAAUUUGUAAUAAACUAAUAAUAUCUUCUUUUUUUUAUAAUUUGAAAAUCAACCCAAUCUGAUUCUCUAAAUUAACAAGAUCAAAUUGACUAUCCAAUGUUCAUUCACUAGGAAAGUCCUAAAGGUCCCUCUAAACUAGAAAGUUACUCAAAUCUAUGGCCAAAAUAAAGUCUUCUUAUAAUUAAAGAAACAACCCAUCUUUUUUUAAGAUCUUCUGACAAUGAAUUUUCAAUUAUGAUGGGGUUUGAAGUUUUGAAAUUUUCUAAGAAUUAUUAACAACUGAAAAGAGAAAGCAAAAGAAAAAGGACGAUGUGAUAUGGCAUGGGACAUGGACUUCCCACCACCUUUACAUUGCCAUCAUGCAAAAAAAAAGCUCUCAAUUUUAUGCUUAGCUUGUUCUUGUUUUCUUUCUUUUAUCACUUCUUUAUUACGUGGGUCUUGAAUUCUCAAUAGUUUCUAAUUGUUAAAAAACUCCAUGAAAAUUGCUUUCCCUAUUGUAAUACCUCCAUUAAGGAGAAUGAAGGGUUAAAAAUGUACCGACAGAUACUGGAAAAUUAUUGAAUGAAGUAAUCAACAUGAUUGUUCACUGACAAUAUUAUAUUCGGAAUAAUGAUAGCUGGUUGUUUUGGAUUGUUUUAGAUGUUGUAUUAGCCAAUUAGGCAUAUUGGUAUAUAUUAUUAUUAUAUGAAAUACUAUUGCCUUUUUUAUUAGCAAAAGACUUUCGGUUAAGAUUUUGCUUAAUUACACGAUUGCAUCGUGAUUGUUUUUAAGCUUCAUCAUUCAAUUCCAAAACUUAACGUAACAAAAGAUCUUACUAACAAUACUAUUUUAAUACCCAUUUUUUUCCCAGUCACGUGAGUGUAUAUGAUCUCCAUAUCUUUGGUACUAUAUCUAAAAAAUUUUUCCAAUCAAAUUAAUUAACACCCGCAGCUACAUUUAAGCAAAUUGUUCUAAGCCGCUAGGGUUUAAUCUAGUAGUUAAAACACAACCCUUACAAUUGUGAGAUUAUGCGUUCGAACCCUCACAACAAUACAUUGUGGGGGUUUAAUUUUCUUCUCUAAUUUGAGUGAAAGCAGUCUCAUAAAAAUAUGGAUUGUGCUUGUCCCAAAAUUAUUUAAUUAUAAAUAUCAGUAUACUAAUCUCAUAAAAUAUAAGUAAAUACGAGUUGGAAUAUGAUCAAUAAUGUCAUAUAAUUUUUUUUAUUUAAAAAAAAAAAAGCAAAGUGCUAUGCAAUCCACUUGAUAUUACGACAAUAACUGGCACACUAAUGAACAACUAGUAAAUUCAUUUUAAAAGAAAUAACACCCCAAAUCAUUAAUAUUUAAAAAGAAUCAUUUGAAAAAAUCUUAAAAAGUGUUCGGCAAUCCACUUGUCAUUGUAACAAUCACUCACACGCCACUGAUCAACUUUAGUUUCAUUCAGUAUGCCGAGAAAUAGAAUUUAAAAAUAACAACACCUCAAAAUCAUACAUAUUUGAGAAGAAUCACAUGAAAAUUGAGCAGGUCAAAUAGUUGUGUAUAGAACAAAUUUUUUCAUGAGACAGGCUGGAUAGCAAGAAAUGGAAGCCAACUGUGAGUUUCGGUCUUUCAUAGAAUUUGGCCUAACGUUGUCACAUUCACUAUUCACGUACCCAUAUUAUCAUCAUCCCAGUGGGCACUGGCACUGCUGAGUGCUGACCCAAUAGAACAAAAUAAUAAUAAUAAUAAUAAUUCCCACUUGCUCAAUAUUUUAUUCUUUUCAUUUUAAUUGUCAUUUUCCCAAGUAAAUAAAAACCUUUUAUGCAAUUAAUUCUGCUUGUCGGGUGGAUGAGGUGGUUCAUCACGUUCAAAUGUUCAAUCAAUGACAAUUUUAUCGCAAAUUCCAUUGCUUAUAAUUGUUGUAACCAAACAAAUCCCUGGUGCCUGCACUAACACCUUAGCUUCAUUUUCAAUUAAGGCGGUUUUCAACAACUUAUUAACUUUAUUUUUAAAGAAAAAGAAAUCCCAAGUGUUUUUCUCACUAAUUGAUUGCUUAAAAAUACUUAAGAAAAUUACCCACAAAUAAAUUAACGAUAAACAUUUAGUACUAGCUUAUGAUUUUUUUGGGGGGGGGGGGGUUUCUAAUAAAAUUUGGAUUAUUUGGGUUUUAUAUUUGAGAAAAGUUAAGUUACGACGAUCGAUAAUUAUAUACCCUUAAAUAAUUAUUAUCUAAUUUGGAUAUUUUUAUAUCUUAAUGAGUUCGUGUUGAUUUGCCAAUCUUACAAGUCUUUAUUUUACAAAAUAUAGAUAUUUAGAUUGAAAAAAACAUAUAUAUAUAUGUAUGACAGUAUGAGUAGUGUAUAUGUUACAAGAUAUUUUAAAAUUUAAUACUUUAGUUGAGAAAUGCCAUCACCCUCAACUACUCGGUUACAAGAAUAUUAUUGCGUUAUUUAAUAUUCUGUUAUCGAUUGCUUUAUUAGGAAGAAAUAAUGAAAAAUGGGACAUCCAUUGCUAAAGUACAACACAACAUUGUUGACAAGUGAGUCCCCCUUGAAGUGACAACUAUUUUUUUUCUUCCUUAAUAAAGGACGAGCUAUGUGUAUGUGGUUUUGCCGUGCAACCCAAGUUUCAAUGUCUGUAUCAUUUAUAGGGGGAAACCUUAGGUGCAACCCACACACGCCACUCGGCUUUUGGCAGCCUGGUUGAGAGGGCAGCAGUUAUUUUUGUGGGGGCUAAAACAUUCAUUCUUUUUUUCUUUUGUAAUUUUUCAUCUGUGAGGAUUAUUUGUCAAUAUAGAAAUUUGAUACUGUAAUCAAUAUUAAAAAAAAAAAAAAAAGUACCCACACAUACACACAUAUAUCUAAGAAAAUAAAUGAUGAAUACUAUGUAAGAGAAAAUUUGGUAGUUACAGGGUGAACACUUUCUUAUCAAAAUAAUAAUAAUAUAAUAAAUUAGAGACCCUCCUGAAUAUUUCCAACAUGCUUCUCAAAUUGCAUGAGUGUUGGAUUCAUCAACUUAUUAUUAUUAUUAUUAUUAUUAUUAUUAUUAUUUUAUCAUCAAUUGAUGUGCAAAAG
rnacentral:lncRNA from 1 species